AUGCCACAAGGUCCCUAUAGACAAGGGGACAAGUGAAUCAUCGCUUUUGGGCGCAGGCAACCCUCUACCAUCCAUCCCAUUGCAUUCCUCUCGUAGAGUACUGUACCGUUUCAGACCAGAUACAUCUAUGGAAAGAAAGGAUUUCAUAGAAAAUCUGCAUUUUUCUAUUUUUUUUUAUCCCCAUGCAUUCCGUUAUUCCCGUAACUAUGGAUUGAUUGUCCCUACCUAACUAAAUGGUAGUGGUCUAGGGAGCGCAAUUGCUAGAGCACGGGAGAAUGAAGAGUAAUGAUUUAAGCAAGAGCAGCCGGACGGACUACUAUAGUCAGUCUAGUGACUACUAUAGUCUUUUCUUUCUUUGUAGUUAAGUAAUAAUGUUUGGUAUAGCAGCCUUUCCGAGCGAGUCUCUGGGAUCUCCUGUAAACCCCCAUGAUGUGGUAAAGGGAGGAUAUUAGGGGAAGCAGUGAGUGGAGAUUCCCCUGCGGAGAGCCGGAUGAGGGGAGACCCUCACGUCCGGUUCGGAGGGCGGGGAUAUCCCGACCCUACUAUCAUUAUGCCUUUGCAAUGUUACUUGGUUCAACUCCAUUUGUGACCUUUUCUCAUAUGUUGGACUCUCUAUCUUCUUGGGUAGAUUCUAGAUCGUCUUCCAUUUUGUUAGUGAGUAGUUUUCUUAUUAAUAAGUCAAGUCAAGAGUAAUAAGAGAACUGUAGGAGCUUGCCAGGAUGGCUUGGUAAGCAAGCUACCUAUUAUGUAGGCGCCAACUCCCAGUUCUUUCUCUUCUUUCUUUUUGAUUUUUUAUUCUCGUUUUUUACUAAACGUACAGUCUCCUUUCCGGGGAAGGGGUAACAUAGACGGAGGCACAUGUAGACAGAUACAGACUUUUUCAAUCUUUUGCCUAUGCGAAGUAGUUGAUCCCUCCGAGGUAAGGGCGAAUCGAGACCGAAAGCGACUAAUAAAAUAGCAUAAUCUGAACACAUAGCUGAACACAUAGUUUAAGUAGAAACUGUUAAAGCUCCCUGGUCUCGAAACGGCCGGCUUUGGUUCAGCUCUCGGGGCCACCUUACACACUAAUAAAAUCGUCAGCUUCCUUCCCCACUCAUCGCCCUCACUUUAAGACGAAAAAUCCAAUUCGAUUCAAAGAUCAGAAUCAUACCUCCAGCGGGCAAGGUCGGCUCAAGAAAUGGAAGUUGUGAGAUGGAAAGAAAACCACGAAAAAAGAACUAAAUUAGGGAUCAAUCCAUACGCGGCUUGCCUUCUCCCCUUCCCCAUAGUAAGCCAGCCAAUAGAAUAGUACCCUAACUUAAGAAGUUCUCUUAGCUAGCGCAUGUCCAUUAAUGUGACCACCGCAUGCUCCUGCAUGAGUUUCAUGAAUGGUUUGUUUUCAAAUCCUAUCUCUCUAGGGAAAGGUAUCUUUUUUCAGUUCGAACAACGGUAUCCCUACCUGGCAAACUAUCCUCGUUUUCGAAGUCCCUAGUUUUGUCCUCUGCUGUAGUAUUCCGGUUAGUUGACGGCUUCCUUCAUUGGAAAUCUAGCCAGUGCUUUCCAUUAGGUGUGCAAUGAAGGAUAGCCUUGCUUUUCUUCUGAUUCUGAUUCAGUCCAAAGAUAGAGACAAAAGAAAGGUAAUUAUUGAAUCGGACUUGGCCUCUUUUUCGGCAUGGGCAAAGGUUUGGCAAUUCCACCAUUAGCAAAGGUUUAAUCGGUUGACGAUAUCCUUGGCGAAAGGCACCUGGUGAGAGUAGCUGCUGCUGCGCUACCUCCAACUAUGAAGUUCAGCACAUGAACAAUACAGAGUACUUUGUUUCCAAAAACAAUACAGAGAACAAGACCACAAGAAAACAAUUUAAAAGAACUACUUUUAGGCAGCAGCAUCUGGACAACAGGCUUAAAAGCUUCCAGAAAAAUGAUAGCACAGACAUCCGAAACAAUUUUCCUAAUAUUUCUUUAACUUGACCUUUUUGCAGUACAUCUAACAGCAUAUAGGGGAAUGCCUUUUUUAUAUUACAUUUGCACCAAACCAAGCUAUUCUUAAUACUAAUUCCUUUGCAUAGAUACUUUCCAAAGUGCUGAGAAUAGCAAUAGAGAGAAAACGCUGCAGAAGAUAUCACAAUUGAAUUAAUAACCUGGUACUUGUUCAUAGAUUUUCUAGCAUCUUCAAUAAGCUUUGAUUCUUACUCAAGUAGUUUGGUUUGUAGUGUCGUUUUUUUUCUUGACUCUAGUAGUGUAGUUAGCAUGCCUUCCGUUCCUUGCUUGCUUAUGCACUUUUGAAUUAAAGACGACCUUUCAAUUCAUUAUUGACUGGAUAAAGUAGUAUUAGUUAAUAUAGGCUGAUUCAGACAAAUCAAAAAUAAGAGACAGUCUUUUUCGAUACUGUAUGCUGGGACAGACCUGUAGGUGAGCACAAGCACAUCCAGCCUUCCACCUCUUUAUACUUAUGUUUAGCAGUGUACCUGGUCUUACUUCUUUUUCAGUUUACGCUUGUGUCCCAAGAUUGCAAGUUCGAAGAAGAGUAUUGUAUUGACCUGAAUCAAGUUGUUUGCCUACCCGCCGUUAUGUCUUAGCUAGGAAUGAGCUGUGAACAAAAUCGAAAUAGUUGUUACUUGAGUCGAUAAUGACUUUGUGUCGGUUUGCUAUUUUCUAUAAAUUGGACUGGUACCAUGUAUUGUAACAUAAGCUUUUGUAUAAGAGCUGAGAUGUAGUUAAGAUUACACUGGAUCCUCUCUCUGUUUUGUUGCUUCCUUCCAUUAUCUCCAACAACUGGUAUCAACACUAGGAACCUUCACGGUUAGGGUUGAUUUUCUUAGACCACUAUGAACACUUGUAAUUGGUUCUUUCUACUUCAGGCAUGUUUCUCUCUAGUUAGUGGAAGAGUGUACAACAUAGGGAUUGGUAUCAGUCACACAUUUAGGAAAGAAAGUGAAAGGGGAGGGCAAGAGCGGUUCGAAGGUCAAUGAAACGAUAAAAAACCACCAGGUCGAGUUUGCUUCUCCCUUCCUUUUGGUGUUUAGGAUGUGAAGUUUAUAUAAGAAGAGAGGAAAGGGGAAUUGAGCUAAAUGGAUAAUUUCAUCCUGGUGAUGGGCUAUUCCAAUGGGCAUGCAUCUGAGAUAUGGGCUUUGAGCGUAGGAACGCCCACCUUUACAAGAGCUCAGUUCUAAGAUUGUUUGCGCGCAGGCACCACUACUAUUCUGUCUUUUCUUGUUAUGCACCCGGUCCUAGAAAUAUUUUUUUUUCUGAUCGGAGGAAGAGAAAUAAAAACGUCACUUCGCUCGCCUUGGGGGACCUAAUUAGGAGCUGAUUGAUUUCUUUAAUAGAUAUGAAGAUGCCUUGAAUGAACCCAAGCAAGCCGAAAUAGAAUACUAUAAGUAUGAAGUGGACAUCUAUGGUUUAAUUGGAAACAUCUCUUUUCUAUUUAGAUUUUGCCAGUGCCUCCCUUUGUGGCAGAGCGAGCGCCUUGACUAAGAUAGAUUGACUCUUUCAUUCUUUUUUUUAAUUUUAUUCUGGUUCCAAUCAUUUGAGGAAAACCCCCUUUGGCAUCAAUGAAACUCUGUUAUAUAGGAGUUCAAAAACCUCAUUUCGUUUGAGAGAUAGUGGAAUUUCUUCUUUCAACACGUACAUCGACGAGGGUGUCGAUGACUUGAGUGAGGAAUGGUCAUGUGCUAGAGACCGUACCUUUGGAGUAAGACCUCCACAAGGGGGUGUGCAGUUUAAAUGUAAAUGACGAGCAUGGAGAGGCCAAGGUCAUUUGUAAUUAGGUGCGGCUGAUGCAAGAAGACUGGCGAGCUGUCCAUGGUGAGAAAAGUUGUGAUGCUACUGCAGGGGGCAUCCUGGUGUAGUUGAGGGCGCAGAACUUCUGUGCGGGUACAACUGACACUUAAAAGACCUUCCGUGUAGAUGAGUUCUCUUGAGUGAGACUAAUCGAGUUACGAAGAAACCUUUGUGAUGGUGCUGUGCAGUUGGGUUCUCUAUGGAGGAACUUCGUUGUGGGGACCAAGGGGUCUUCUUAAGAAGAGUUGCUUUGAUGAAAAGAGUGUAGCCAUGAUGGCAAGUCAAGGUGGGGCCCUGUGAAGGCAAGCCUUGUGUAUGUUGGCGUGAUGACGAGAGAAAGGAAAUGCCCAAGAACAAUAGCUGUCCGUAGCACACCCUGCAAUGACUUCGACCAGCGGACCAGCCUAUCCAAUACCCUACGCCAUGACCUUAGAAGUUCGUACCCCAUGAUAUUCAAUGACACCCGUAGACAUUUGAUCAUUCAUACCUCAUAGUACGCUUUCUUUCUUUUUUUUGGACUUUGAAUUCCAAGCGAAGGAAGCUCAGUGAAAGAUAGACUGGGAUUUGACAGCAAGAAGAAAGCAAUCAUAGUACGCGGCACACACCGCUGACGAAUGAGAUUGAUGUCCCAAACCAACACAGGUUCAAGACUAAGUGCAGAACCAAGAAUUCCGUGGAUAGAAAAGUGAGUGCUUCCUCAAGCUUCAUGAAGGAAGGGUCCAAGGACCUAAGCGACAACCUCUACGAAAAAGAAAAACCUAUAUAUAGAUAGUGGUAUGUGUUCGCUGACACUAAAUAGACUUGGCUCGGGGCAGAACUGAGUGGCUAGGCUAAGUUCCCUAGUCUUCUAUUGGCCCACCCACCCCUACGACAUGGAGGCGCUUACCCUUCUCCAACAAGCGUUCCACCACGCGGCGAUUGAUUACCGCUUUCCGUCUCAAUCCGUUCUAGACCAAGCCCCUUCUCUGAUCGGGGGAAGGUCAUUCUAAAACAUCAGAUCUCCCAUUGAUGCUGGUCAAAAAUAAGUUUAUCCACCUAGAAUAUAUGAUAGGUACCGAAAGAUUGGAUGUCAUUUCUCAACACUAGGCGGGACGAGCAGCCCUAUACCACGUGUAGCCACACUCUAGUGUCCUUUUCUACUUAGUUGGACAGAUCACUUCAGAAAAUCGUAUAAAAAUCAAGCAAGAAAAUGGAUGCGCUAACGUGCAAUGGCUUUCACGCUAGUUGCUCAAAAAAUCGUAUAAAAAUCAAGCAAGAAAAAGGUUCUGGCAGGCUGCGUGGGACUGUAAAUCCUCUUUCGCUGGCUGGGCCCUUUGGACUCGAAAUCCAAACGGAGUGAGUGGUUCGAUUCCACUCUCAGAACGAGACUGAACGAAAUAAAAUGCAAGUGAAACGAGACGAGAAUCAAAUUGUAGGCUUCUUUCCUAAAAGCGGUGGUUCUCGCCUCCCCGUGCCCAAAGCGGGGUGGGCGACAGCGCUGCGGUUCUUUUCUUUAUCGAUCGGGUAGAUCCAUAUGUUCUGAGGGGGGGACGAGGUGUAGCGCAGUCUGGUCAGCGCAUCUGUUUUGGGUACAGAGGGCCAUAGGUUCGAAUCUUGUCACCUUGAUGUGGUAUUCACACAAUGGGGCCGAAGUGCAAAGCCCCGCAGCCUAUCCGUGGUCGGGAAGGCAGGGGUAUUAAAAGUGAAACUUGGCUUGCGUGUGCAUGCACACAAAGGAGACUGAGUUGGAUUGCAAAGCCUCUCAGACGGAAGGAACCUGUUUUAAAAACCCCUUUCUACAAUCUUGAGAAAUCUCACGCAAGCAACUACACGCCGCAAGUCUUCGGUAUUGUUCGCAAGGAAUUUGAAAAGAUUGACUCUGCUUUUUUUAUUUUCGAGCAUGCCAAGCCUCCAGUAGAGCGGAGUUCUGUGCAUGAAGUAGGCGCAGUUUACAAACUAGUGAAUGGUCAAAUGAAUAGGCUCGUUUCAUCAGGGGUAACCAAGGAGUAAGAAUGAUUUGAUAAAGUAAACAUUCCCUUUGAGUGCGGUUCCUUUAGAACAAGCUCUUCCCUUUUCAGAUUGCUUCUUUGGGCCACUUGAGCAUCGACUGGGCAAGGUUGGAUUCCCUCUACUUCUGGUGGCUACUAUUUCUCAACAAUGUUUUUUCAUUUGAUCCAAUAGCCCUCCGUUAGAUAGGAACAACUUUGCUAAAUACUGAGAACUCUCGAAUAGAAUAUGAGAAGGGAAAGAUCCUUUACAUAAGGAACUAUUGAUCAUAGGCGUACACUCUGAAAAGAAUUGAGUGAAACUCUCUUGUUUCAUCAACUUUGAUAUCAUUAGCUGUCUCUGUAGCUGGCUCUCAUGUCUGGUGUUCCAAGUAAAAACUUUUCAACUAGCUGGGUCACCGCUGUUUUAAACCCUAACUUGGAAUCAGAGCCAUAAACGAGUGAUUCGGUCGGACGGACGAUUGAGUUCUUAAAGCUUGGAUCGGCACUUCUUGUGUUGAAACAAACACGCUGUUGCUAGCGCCCUCAACGCUCUCUUCGAUCCUUCGCAAACAUAGCUCCUUCCACGGGAGAUAACUUUCGAUCACUUUCAUCUCAAUUCGUUUCAUUGGUUGGUCGAGUGGAUGAUUAGACACAGGUGGAGUAUUCAAGUUGUCCCUACUUCAAGUUGUCCCUACUAACUAACAGGUCUAAUUAUCGCUGGCUCACAGGCUCCUUCAAAGCAAACAUUCGCAGCGCCCCUCACAUUCAAGCUCUUGCUUUGUCCUGCGGCCUGCCCUUUAAGCAAAAGCAAGAUCUAGACAAGAGUGAAAAGCAGUCAGAAUAUUAAUAAUCUAAAAUGGCCUUCCUUGGUUGUGUAGCUAAUCCCCCUCCUUGACAAGAACAGAAUUUUGCAUCUUCAAACUGUUUAUGGGUGAUAGCCUCAUUCCCCAUUAACUCACUAGAAAGCCCUUUGAAUAAGCCUCAGGAACACCCAUUCCUUUCGGAUCAGGGGGUGGUUGUUUUAACUACUCGUUCGGGGAACAUUAGACAAAGUUACUUAUUUGAGAAAGUAAAUGAACCUGAAAUAGGACCUAUGUGAUAGUUUGCAGCAUGAGCAUGUAGAUGCUGGUUAUGGUAUCAGAUCUGAGGACCAAGAAUUUCAAAAGGAUAGUAUUAGACUCAAUAAUAAGCUUUCAAAACAUAACUUCUCAUAUUUGGUCUGUGGGCUACCAUGCUUAAGCUUUCUUAUCUUACUCUUUCCACUAACGUUAGGACUUAGGCGAGCUGCUGAAUACAAGACACUUCUUUCUCGGCCGUGCGUGGUCUUCCCUCGGGGAUGGGAGAAUAUAGAAGGUGGGUGGGUGGAUCUCUAUUCUCCAUAAGGAUAGGGUUGAUUUGAUUGGCAUUCACGCCUUUUAGAAAGAGCCACUCAAUGCAAUUCUCUUUUAGGCGAAGAGAGUAUGCCCAACUGGAGUGGUUUCCGCCUAUAUUCCUACUAAUGUAAUCUCCAUUAUAGAUGGACAAAUCUUCUUAUCCGCGGAUCUAUUCCAUGCCGGAAUUCGACCUGCUAUUCAUGUGGGUAUUUCACUUUCCAGAGUAGGAUCAGCGGCUCAAAUGUGCCGCAAUGAAACAUGUAGCUGGCAAAUCCAAAUAGGAACUAGCUCAAUUCGCAGAGUGACAAGCCUAUUAUUCGCCUUUGCUCUCGAUAAAACUAGCCAGAAUCCAUUGUUUUUAUGACGGGAAUUGCUUAAACAAUCCCAAUCAAACCUUCUCCCAGUGGAAGAACAGAUAGCUACUAUAGCUACCGGAACGAUAGGAUAUCUUGAUUCGUUCGAAAUUGGACAGGUCAAGCUAUUUCUGGACUGGAUGAGUUACGUAAACACCUCAAAGAUACUCAUUCCAAGAAAUUCGAUCUUCUAGCCAGCUUCUAGCCAGGUGGAUAAGGAUGGAAUCUGGUAUCCAAGAAGAGGAUGUUGGACAUUCUUCAUCCCGGAGGGCCGGGAAGAGGAGAGAUAGCAUCACUCUGACUUUGCCGGAAGGAGGAAAAUCCAGAGUUGGCUUUGGGAGAAGAGAAGGAAGCUCUCAGGUUUAGUGAUUCAUACCUGUCCUGUCUUUUGUUUCCAGGGUUUCGAUUUCUGGUCCAGAGCUAGUCUACUUAUUUAUUUUAUACGGAAACAGAAUUUUGCAUAUUAUACGGAAUUUGUCAUACCAGGUUUUCCUAGAGUUGAGGAAUUCUAUCCAUUCUAGGAAAAGCACUGGUUUGAGAAACUACACUACAGGAAAGUACUAAGGAAUAGGAAGCUGCUACUUAUACUUCUUAUUCUUGUCCAAAGAUGCCAGGCCGAGACAGAAACCCAACUAGUGAAAUAGAACGGAUCUCUCUAAUAAACUGGGGUUCUUCUCUUCGGGUUGCUGGUAUCCUUAUAUGGAUCCGUCUUGUCUCCUCGGCUCGAUAGGCUAGCAAAGUCAGUUCGUUGGAUUGGUCUGUCCGGUCAGUCAGUCAGGAAAGCACGUCAAGUCAUUUAAUAGCUCUGGUCCGGUUUCUAACUCGGUGAAUUGGUAUGGUCUGGAGGCCCGGCAAUGACAAUAGCAGACAGGUCAGUUGUUCAAGUCCGUCUGGUUGAUAGGUCAGCUGGUAUAGAAUCUUGUCUGGUUUCUGAAGUCGGUAAAGUCCAAUCAGUAGAGUGCCAGUUAAGUUCCUCAAGUAAGGAUCUUUGACUCCUCCAAUUCGGUAGGUAAUCAUAAUAGUCUCGGCUCGGAAUGCGAAGAUGCUGCUAAUCUGUUAAAGGGAUCUAGAUCGCAUUUAUUUGAUAUGCGUCCCUUCUUCAAUCCCGGAUGUGUACCUGAUGCCAGGGAAUAACGUAGUUCUAAAGUAGUGACUCGUGUCUUGGAGGUCGUCCAUCCAAAUGUUCCUCUUUGCCAUUGCCCGCGUCUACUCCUAUAACCGAAUCGAUGGCCUAUAGCGCCAUGCCAUAAUGAAAUUCUUGAUCAUUUCUUUGUUCGUAACAUGGCGUAGUGUAUCACUGGGUGCCACAAUCCCAUUCAAUUCUUGUCCAUUCAAUACCAUGGAUAUAUCGAUUUCUAUUUUCAGAAAGCUCCUAUUUCGAUUGAUAUCUCUAGCAAAUAUAUGCGUAGCGUAUGUCAAGAUAAAGUAAAUCAAUCUGUAUGACGGCAGGGAGCGGAGGCAGCUUCAACUCAAGUGAGGAGCAAGCUUACCUCGGGCAGGUAGAUUGAUCGGCUCCUUCAUAUCUUGGGAUUUCGCUUAGGCCACCCAGGCCAUACCAUAGAAAAAAGAUCUGGUUUCCUUUCCCUCAUCAACCUGCUGUUCUUUUAUUUCACGAAAGAAUCUUUCCGUCCGUAUUGAGCAACUCAAAUUCCUAGAAAGCCGUUGGUGCACCCACCCAGUGAGUAACUACUAAUGCAGUGAGUAACUACUAAUGUUACGAACAAAGAAACUUUCAAAAAGUGGACCCAACAAGCAAAGCAACGGAUUGGGCUGCACUGCCUUUCGGCGUUUUAGUUAGGCGCAUCCUCUUGCGGGAUGAAAAUCUGCCAUAGCACGCUCCGCGCCUUUGAAGGAACAUUUGCUCGAUGAUGGUCCUACCCUACGCGGGCUUACUAACGAUGGCCAAGCACGCAGUCAUUCCUGUUCUAUUUGAUAGGGGAAGCAAGCUAGUCAAAGAAGAAGGAAGCAUGGGUAUAGGUAAGUCUAGACAUAUUUACACGGGCGUAUACUGAAAUAGGCAUAAGGCCGCUAACGCUAAGGAGAUAGCACCGCUUCUUUGUUCGUAACUAGGACAUGUAUUGAUGCUAGAGGCAGACUCCUAGGACUUAUCACUCCUUAGAUGAAGCAAGACAAGAGUGAGUCUGCUAAGGGACAAGUAUGACUAAAAAAAUGAUGGCAGAUUUUUAUGGAAAUGAUUGUAUUUGAGUAUAUUGUCUCAUUGGGUUUGUCAUUAUCGAUAGCUAUUCUUGUCGCCGUUAGGGCUGGCCGGAUGAUCCAUCACAUAAAUGCUAUUAAUGUUGAAACACAAGUAACCGAUAUAUCCAAAGAUGUUCUUAAAGAACAAAUCAUUUAUCAAUUGGAAAUACUCUAUAAAGUCUAUAGAGAUACUACUGAGGGUGUGCAGUUACCGGCAGGAGUCAAUCUCCAAGAAGUAAGCACACAUCUCUUUUUUGUAGACGAGAGAGUGAGCCUUCUAAACAUUAUCUACUGUGAUCUUAUUGCAAAGGGAACUGGAAGUGAAUACUUUGGCCAAGUUAUACAAUUUCUUCUGGGAUAGCUUGUUGUGGGGCUUUCCGAAGGGUCGUUCUAAGAGUGGUCUCUUUUCUUUAAGGUUGCAUAUAUUGUCGGAGAAGGGAGGGAUCCAGGCCAGGUCUAAAAGUGCCGAGUUGGGUUUGGGACAAGAUCAGGAAAUAGUGCAUCUUAUAUAGUGGGUGCCAACUUGAUUGCUGCUGGGAUUGCUUGAUAGGAAACUUUGAUUGAUACGAGUAGAUGUGAAUGAAUUGAAAUAGUCAAUAGUGGUGAUAUGAUCCCGGUAUCUACACUCGGAUCUACUUUUGCUACCGAGACUGCUGCUACUGUAAAAGCAUCAGGAAUGUGUCAAUUCACUGAAUAAAGUGCUCUUUCCAUUUAUUUAUGGAUGAAAUCACAAAAAAGAGAAGGAACCACCGAUUCUGCAUCAAAAACAGGGGUUCUGGAGCCAGUUUCUCAAAUCGUAAGUAGAUCCAAUCCAGGGCAGUUGAUAAGUGAGGUUCUCCGGUCGAAUGCAAAUAAGCCAGAGCAUAUCUCUUGUUUCGAGGAAGAAACAAACAUCCUGGUCUCAAUAGAUCUUGAUUCUAUGCAUGCGUCAGACACAUCACGAGCCAGAACAAACGAGUGCUUUCAACUCACGAGCCGGAGCAGACGAGUGCUUUCAACAAUAAGCAAUACCCGAGCUUCCUUCUACCAACCAGGAUUCCAAUACCAAUUCCAAUCUGGCACAUCACAAGGAAGUAGCACACCAGAAGAACCAAUACGAGAACCCUUCCUUCCAGCCAGAAUCCGUCUUUCUUGUCCUUUGCAUUCGAGGAACGGGAUCUGCCUUGUGGAAACAAAAGCUAUUUGUUCGAGUCAAGCAAGCGGAUAGUCAGCUAAGAAUACUGGAAGAGAACUCUCUAGCCCUGCACUUAAACUAGACUAGAAAUCCGAAAAAACACUAGUUUUGGCCCAUAGCGAAAUAGAGUUUUUCUUCUCCGCGGACUCCCCAUGCUUGGCGCCAUAGGCUUUAGGACUUUUGGCACUAGGGAAUCAUACUUUGAUCAGAUCCGUGGACAGGCUCCCGAGGUCAAAUCGGAUUAUGGACUUUUCCAGCUAAGUGAAAACGCACUUCACUACUAGCAAAGAAGUCAGCUUAGGGCAGGGCCGGUGGUAAUCUCAGAUAGGAACUUGCCGGGAUCCUUCCAUACCUGCCAUCCACCACUACUACUGAUCAUUUCCCAGAACGAGCCAUACCUUUUCCUAGAAUGAGAAUAUGGCUGAGGACAAAUAGCGGUGCCUAGCUUUAGUUUCCACACGACACGAUGGAUCUAUCACUCUCUUUAGCCAGGCCAUUCUCUAGAGGAGAGUUCCGAGAAUGAAUUCCAAUCUGGUACCAAUCGUAGAAAUCGUAUUGUAGAGUUCUUCUCACGCCUAGCACAGCUACAAGCAUUCCUCGAAUGCAGAGACAAGACGGAGGAUAUCUGAUCCCGCGGAACAUCUGCUACCAACUACGGAUUACCUUGUUUCCAUGAAAUCCAUGUUUCUGGCACCUUGCCCCCCUCUACCUACGAAAUUCUGAUUCCUAUGGUUGAAGAAAGUACAGUGUUGUCAAUUCAACCUGAAAAAAGGGGAAUAAGUUGACAAAGUCAGCUUGAAUAUUACGGUAUGGAUCAAAGGAAGCUAUACCCGCCUUGAUUUCUAUCAAACUUAUUAGAUAGUAAAGCAGACAAGUCUGAAAUGGAAUGUUUGAUCGGUAUAUGUAGGGCUCUCAAAAGAGAAUCUAUUUCAGCAUAGUUGAUUUUCAGAAGCCAACUAGAACUACGAAGCUGCCGUAUAGUUGAUUGUUCCCACCAGUUUCAUUCUCAUCUGGUCAGUUUCACGAAUGCAGGGAUUUACUAUGACUCUCAGGUGUAAACCUUGGUCGUAUACAGCGGUGAACUAGCUAAAUAUAGCUAGAGGAGUAAUAUAGCUAAAUAUAGCUAUAGGGCAUUCCACAGAGGUGAAAUUCUCUCGGCAAAGCAGAACAAGAAGCAGCAGAAAGCAAAACAGUAUAAGGGUCGUUCGGAGUUCCAGGCACAAAACAAUUCUACAGAACUGGGUAUACCAAACAGUUGAUCAACAAGGCAAAUAUCCACUAAACCAGCUAAACGGCUCACGAAUUGUUUGGAAUGCGACGGCAAAUGUGAUCUCCCAGCAAUAUCUCGAGUCCAAAACCUCACCCAUCUACAUAUAUCAUCAUCUGCGGCAAGAACAUAGCAACACCAAAAUCCUACCAGCAACUGCUGAAAUGCACCCUCCUCACGACAGCCAACCAUCGAUGGUGUCAGACUAUGAUUCAGUUGCUGUACUACUCCUCUUUGUUCUGUUUCAUGUUUUUGGCGGUUUCGUUCUUGUGUCUGAGUCCGAAGAAGACGGUGGAUGUUGAUCGAGUAGCAAAAUUGUGCUUCCUGUUGCAGGAUUUAUGUAUCGUGCCGUGCGUAGAUACGGACGACAUGGAAAAAAAUCCAGGUUUAUGUAUGACAUGCUCUUUCCUUCCUUCAUUCGGUGACACACAGAGGUGGCAGAGUCUUGUUCCUGGAGUCGCUCACAACUUUUGGGAGCACCGAGAUCCUGAAUAAGAUGCUGCACGAAUUGGCUGAGGUGUUGGGAGCCCCCCAAUAGAGAAGGACGAUGCGGAAAGGGAUGAUGGGAAAGUGACAAGACUGGACUUCGACUCGUUUAAAAAGAGUUGUAGCCAUACGGAAUUCCAAUUGGAAUGGACCCAUCUCAUGAUACAAGUUACCCUGGAUUUCUUUCUAUUCCUAUUUCGCUGGGCAAUUCUAGUUUUUGUUAUGAUGAUCUCAUGGAUAGUAGUAUUGAGUUCUAUAAAUAGAUUGAUAGUAGGUUUUAAGAUAGCUUAGCCCUUGCUAUGAUUCAAUUUGUAUUGGAGAGGAGGGGCGCCAACCCUAUGGGGAAUGUAGCUAUGCUGUACUUCUUCCUACUAGCUAGGGUGCAGCACCUGUUCCUAGCUAUGAUGCUGCUCCUGUCCGCCCCUUGAUUUAUCACCGCUUUGGUCUUUUAUUGGUCAUUGAUUUAUAGACGGGAGGAUAAGUACCCUGGCUCGACCCCAGAUAUCGAUUUAGCAUUCCAUUAUAGGAUCUCCGAAACGGGAAACAAGAAAAGUAAUCGAAAUCGUGUGCCAGCGAGACAUACGAAAUUCACACUUUUUGACUCUCAAUCCACAGGUGGAGAUACCAGGGGUGGGUUUUCAUGGCCUAUAGUCUCCCCUGCCGAUGAAGCAUGAACUACUUGUUGAAAUUGCGGAUCCAAAUCUUGCAUUUCUCCUUUACUCGUCAAAGGCCUCGUAUUGUUAUUCCCAUGAUUCAUGUGGGCUAUCUGCUCUUUAUUGUAGGGUCCUACUCCCACCUAUCCUUAAAAAACACUGUGAGUGGCUCAUACUAAUCAAAUGUACAAGUAACUGACCCUUAUCAAGCUUUCCACACAUAGUGUUUUGAUCUAAGAUUGCAAUUCUUCCAUGUUUCCGCAGUAGCAUAUUGUUCCAUGGAGCUAGGGUCCAAAAUAGGAAUCAACAAGUGUUUCCACGACUCUACCACCCGGCCAAUCCUGUUCCACCGAAUCCCCUCCCUUUUUCAUGGCCACAUAUCUUUAUGGCUAAGGAGUGGGAAAUCUUUCUCCUGCUACACAAAUCAAAUGUUUCAUUUCAUCCGGGAAAAGCCACCUCUUUCUCCACAAACAAUGUCUUUGUCAUUUGAUCCUGUUUUUAUCCGUUAGAUAGGAACCGCUUUGCUAAAUACUGAGAACUCUCGGAUAGAGUAUUAGAAUGAAAAGACCAUUAAUUAUAUAAGGAAGAACCCAGGGUUCUAGCCCAUUCCCAUUCCUAAAUCAAUAAUUCGUAGUGCUUUUGCCUUUCUUGCGUACUCCUGGUGAACCAGUUGCUAGCCAUAUGUUUAGGAGGCUAUUUUCUCCUAUUAAGUAAGAUUCUUAAGCUUAAUAAGCCCAAAGAUCGAAAAGUACGGACCAUUUUGAAAUAAAACCGGACCAUUUGUAAAUCAAAAUAGUCUAGCUACUCUCUUCUCUGUCUCCUUCAGAAAAAGAAAGCUAAGGCAAUUGGUGUUGAAUAAACAAAACCACACCGAACCAGUCAGGAGUUUUCAGAGAUUAUGCCCAGCGUCACAUGACACCACUUCAUUGUAUGCAACACGAGGAACCGAUCAAGAAAGACGAAGCAGACAUGCACAAGUUCAAGAGCGAGAUCAGACAAGCAUGUAUCAGAACACCAACGUGAUCAAGGCUGCAGCUGCUGCUGUGAGGACUAACGUCUCAAGGGAAAUCCGGCAGGAACUGAAGGCCACCGAUCCCGACCGAUCGCGCGGCACGGACGUCGAAAGCUCCUCCAUAGUCGACGGGGGCACUUCACUUGUCCCGGGGCGGCAGCAGCAGGAACAUGCGCAACUGAUUUCAAUUAGUACACACGAAGUAUGAUCAACGAUUCCGCAAAGAUAUUAAUUCCAAUGUAGUGUUCAAACAAUCAAAUGGAUGAGAUGAUCAACAAUUGCUCAGAUUAAAAAACUAGAAGGUACAGUUACAACUUAAUAGAUCUGUGCACUCAGAGUUUGAGAAGACUAUAUAUAUAGCAUCCACAUCACCAGGACACUCGAUACUGUAAUUAGUAGGCAGUUAUAAGUUAAUAGAACAGAUGCUGCGAGUAGAAGAAUUGAAUCAAUAAUCAGUUUUAUCAUACAAUCAAGUUUGAAUCUGUAUUCCUAUAGCCCUAUAGCAGCAUAUAACAAUAAAUGGAGAGAACACCGCAAGUGAAAAUAAAAAAAUUCCGUUUUGUUGUGGGCAGAUGAGCAGGGAUCAUAUGGUGCGAAAGCCGAAAUGGCCAAGAGUCUCUGAAUGGCAUUAGUGGCCGCAGAUUCACUGAAUUACUAGACAAGCAGAAAAACGUUUACCUGGAGACAUUUUAGGCGUGGAAGGUGAGUCAGGUGUGAAAUUCAUCUCAGGAAGCGACUUGAGCCCUAUUUCAAAUGGGGGGAAACAAAUAAAUGAAAAAAUAAAAUUGGUACAUUCAAAAGAACUGCUCAACUGAUCAGUAAUCAUGACUAACCAUAGCAAAAAAGCACAGUAAUAAUAUCCCUAAGAGUAGCAUCCAGAGCUCGCUGGUAAUCCGCGUCUACCACCAACCAUCACCAAUGUAGCUUCACAAGGACUCACAAGAACAAGGAUAGGAGCGCAUAAACUUAUUUUGUAACUUGUUCGGUGAUCAAGAACACGCGCAUAGGGAGCACAAGAAUCGAUUGAAGCAUAUACUCGCCAUCAAGAAGGGACAAGUUUAUCCCCCCGGCCCUACUCCCCAACCAACCCACCGAACUAACUCCAUACAUUCAUCAUCAUACAUUGCGUACCGUGCAUUUUUCCUCUUCCUUCCAUAUUGUGCACGAGGCCUUUGGCUACUCAAUUUAUUUUCUUUUGCUGCUUCUCUAUUCUACAUAGACCCGACAAUCUCCCUCCGACAAAAGCAUACUUUUUGAGUACUCUAAAGAAAUAUAGCCCAUUGGGCCGGCUUUAGGAUUUUGCUUACUCCUACUGUGGAGAAAACCAGAGGAGUCCGACUACCAUUUCUUCGUAUGAAGUACGUACUUGUUCUUCACCGUGCAAGCUCUACAGGUUUCGGAAUCCGAGGCCUUCAAGUUCAACCGUAGACGUAGAAGCAAACCGGUGCUUAAGCAUCGAGCGAAUGAGAGACGAGUGAGAAGCCUUUAGCUCCUAGAAUGCCUUCUUCAACUUUGCUAUACGCAAUUCGUGCGCCAAAUAGAAUUGCUAGACUACGUCGAGUUGUGACCACUCAUGCCUCUAAAGAGCGAGGCAAAGGGUAACACUAGGGCGGAGCUCCACCUUUUGUUCUUCCAGCUCGGACUCCUAAACUAGAAACUAUAUAAGAGGCACGAGAUGAUCAGGUGUGUGCACUAAAGCUCGACAUGAUGAAAGCUUAUGAGAACUUCACUGCUAUAGCUGAUACGGGAUCUAAUGACUUAUAUCUUAAAAUAGGGUUUUGUGACUACCAAAAGUUUCUCUUUUCAUGACACAGGGGGGGUCUCUGUGGCCCUAGUUUCUUUGGCCCAUUUGAAAUGAGCUAUGAAUAGGUCCUACUUCAGACAAUCCUUCGUUGUCCCUUCAGAGGAGAUGAGUGGGAUGACGAAUGAGUUCUUUAAACAUCUCUAUACUGCUGAAGGUACUGAAAGAAUGGAGGAUGUUCGUUCUGUCGACAGUUCCUCGGAAAGUAUCUCAGGCAAUGAAUGAGCAAUUGACUGCGCCCUUUACUGGUUCUGAAGUGUGACCUUUUUAAGAUGUACCCUGAAAGGCCCCUGGCCUGGACGGCUAUCGAGCCCACUUUUUUUCAGCGAAGGUGGGAUUUCUAUGGUGAUGAGGUUAGUGACUUCAGUUACCUUCUCGGUUCUUUUCAAUGGGGAGCGUCUUGAGGAAUUCAAACCUUCUCAGGGACUACGCCAGGGAGAUCCAAUCUCUCUGUACUUAUUCUUGUUAGCAGCAAUUUAGGUAUUCGAAAUAGCGAAAUACAUAAAUUAUCUAUCUCAAGUACGUCUCGUACUUAUCUUGAGCCAUCAGUCAGAUUGAAUGCAGCGCCCUGCUGGCAGCUCCUGACCUCUGUUCCUAUGGGGGAAAGAAGGUGUGGCUUUGGACCCCAAACUCUUCCAUGAUGCCCUUCUUCUUAUAGCGUGGGUAAGUGAUCAAUACAGACAAAAAUCACACCCAUUGGAUCCAUCCUGAUAUGAUUGGGUGAUUUGCACGUUCCCUUAAGAACAAGCACACACACACUAAAUCCUGAAAAGAAAGAUAGAUGCUCAUCUUCACACUGAUAGCAGCAGGCUCACUACGUAUGUUGUCCAACCCACCUCGUAAGACAUCUUUCCUCGGAUAGCCAAGCGAAAGAGGAGGUCUCAAGCAUGCAAAAACACAUGUAUGAGCAGGAAAAGAUGUGCAAUCAAGCUCAGAGACUGCAGAUAACGGAUCUCUCAGGCACCGGUUUCCCUCAGUUCAGGAAGGGAAGCGAGCUUUCAAGGGUCCAAGGAUAAAAAAGGUAAUUAAUAUGUCUCCGACCGAAGUGAUAGAUAAAGGCUUUACCCAUUGGCAAGGAACGCUUGGAGGAGUGAAACAACGAUUCCGCCUAGCAUAGGACACGUAUAUUUGAUCCAAUCUAGCAAGCGUAGCCAGCCCCACCCACGGGUGAAAUUGUACAACUCCCUAUCUUGUUGAAAGCCCCUUUGCUUACGGAAGAGAAGAGUUGGAUGUCGUGGUGGGAAAGCUCCCGUUUCAACUUUGCUUCUUGUAAUCUUCGGUAUAAAUAGUUCACUUGCAGGAUCUAAUCUCAUUCUAUGGAACAACUUUCAUUUCUAUCUUUUGGCUUAAAGUGGUGAACAAAUCCUUUCUCUUCACUUUUUGUGCUCCGAUGGCUCCGGUCAAGAUGUGACUCAUCCUGUAUAUACAUAAUUAGGAGACCUCUCAUGAACUUGUUAAAGAAAGGAGUACCAUUUGUGUGGACAAGCCAAAGCAAUCCUUUGAUGUUCUCAAGCAAGCUUUAAUUGAGGCCCCUGUGUUGGUUCUCCCUGAUUUUAGUAAAAGAUUUGUGCUAGAGACAGAUGCCUGUGGGCAUUGGAGCUGUGAUAAGGGGUAGAAGUAUUCGUGUGGGGUGGGUUUCGAAGGGAAGGUUGCACAAUAGAUCGGAGAUCCUUUGAGAAAGACUGAAAUGACUAUACUUAUAGAAUGGUCCAUAUCGAACAGAUACGAUACUGGUUUACACAGAGAAUAUCGCCUAGCUCUAAAACGGCAACACCUGAGUGCAACUUAGAGUAAGAAAGAACGACCUUCUGCUACCUUUUUACCGGGGCAUUGUUUUAACAACUUUAGCUGAUUGAUCUACGAAUGGAGGGAUUCAAGCUUAUUUUUGUUAACCGAGAUGCAAACGACUAACAAACUGGAUUCGAAGCCACCUGUCGUAAUAUUACCUGCGGGUUCUUUCUGUGGAGCCUUCAAAUGCAAUAGCUAGCUGCCCAACGGCCAAUGCCACAGGCAAAUCUCCAUUUUCCAGCUUAUACAACUCUUUGGGGUCCAAAGAUACUCGCCAUUGCAACUUAAUAAAUAGGACCGGUGGGAUCGCCUUCAACAGAUAUAUCGGUUUCACUGCUUUCGUACCCUUUGUUUUGGUCAUGUGGAUGACCCGCAAACCGUAGAUAAGAUGGAUACCCACGUACUGCCUUCAAUGAAGAGAGUUUUACCAAGGACCCUUAGACAGAUAGGGGGGACAGACAAGAGGUAUGCAACCUGCUGAAUAUUGUCACCGAAUCGCUCACUGACAAAUACUUGGGGCUCCCCUCCCUGGUAGGAGUGGAUAGGAGCGACUGCUUCCAACACUUAAUUGAGAGAGUUUGCACUCGGAUUAAUGGCUGCAAAGAGGAAGGGCUAAUUGGCUCCGCCAUGGAGACCGAAAUACGAGCUUCUUUCAUCACAUCAUUUUGCAACGGAGAAAAAAGAAGAACAUAAUAAAGUUUCUGAAUGACUCAAACGGCAACAGGAUCAAAGGUAAUGACCCGUUAGCAUCUCUGAUACAGGGUUACUUUGAGGGACUGUUCACCUCAGAAGUCCUAGCUCCCGACCCUGGGCUACUGGGGAAAGUAAACAGGCGAGUAACUGAAGAAAUGAACGCAAGCCUCUUGGCUCCGUUCACGGCAGAUGAAGUAAAGGCAGCACUCUGAAUUCAAUCGAGAGUUAGGUACAGUAAUCUUCAGAUAUGACAAUACCUCCCCCAAAGCAUUGUCAAGUGUUGGAAUUAGGGCACCAACCACGAAUAGGAGCUGUAUAGAACUCCGGAAAGAGACCUUUGAUGAAGUCGACAUCCUCCCAAGUGGCAUUUGCUUGAUCCAAACUAGCCCACUUCCUUGGUUGCUGAAAAACCAUGCAACGCAAGUAAUUUACCACACACUGAUUCACACGUUCUGUCUGGCCAUCUGAUUGUGGGUGAUAGGCAGAGCUAAACCUCAAUUUCAGUUGCAGUGCUUUGAAGAAGGCCUGCCACAUGUUACUUGUGAAUAUCCAGUUUCUAUCAGAGACUAUUGACUUUGGCAAUCCAUUCCACUUAAAAACAUUAUCCAUGAAAGCAUGAGAGACUGAUUGUACUGUAUAAGGGUGAGCAAGGGGAAUGAAAUGAGAAUAUUUAGUGAACCUGUCCACCACCAACAAUAUGACUUCUCUGCCCAAUGAUUUGGGAAGACCCUCAAAGAAAUCCAGGGAGAUGUCAGUCCAAGCAGAAGUAGGUAAUGGCAGUGGAUCUAGGAGACCAGGGUAGUGGCAAUGCUCUCCCUUGACUCUUUGGCAAACUGCACACUCAUGUAGAAAAGUUUCAAUCUCCUGGCCUGGCGCCAAUCAAAUAGCUUUUUUACCCUUUGAUAAGUAGCCACAAUGCCUAAAUGGCCUCCUAUGAGAGAGUUGUGAAGUGAAUCAAUGAUUUGGUGUUUAAGAACAACAUCUGAUCCCACAUAUAUUCUUCCUUUAUAUCUCAAAAUGCCAGAAUGAAGAGUCUAAGGGGGUGCUGCAUUGGCUGAUACAGUGAGCUUCUCAAGCAGAGAUUUGCAGUGAUCAUCAUUAGUGUAGCUGGUUUCUACAGUUGAAGCCCAAGUAGGAGUAACUGCAGUGACUGCCAUCAUAAGAGAAUCUCUUCUGCUCAAAGCAUCUGCAACCUUGUUUUCUUUUUUUUGUAUUCAAUCUUGUAAUUGAAUUCAAGCAAUUUUCACAUAAGCUUGUGCUGGAUGCCCUUAGAGACUUUUUGUUCUGUGAUGUAUUUAAGGCUCUGUUGAUCAGUUUUGAUCAAUAAAAGAAUUGGGAACCAAGAAAGUAGUGGCGCCAUCUCUUCAAGGAUUCACAAAUAGCUAAAGCUUCUCCUUAUCAUAAGUUGACAUAGCUGCAUUUCUGGGUCCAAGGGUUUUACUGAAGUAAGCAAUUGGUCUGCCUUGUUGCAUGAGGACAGAACCAAUACCUUGACCUCAUGCAUCUGUUUAAAAAGUAAAUGGUAGGGUCAAAUCAGGCAAAGCCAUAACAGGAGCAGUGACCAGACAAUUCUUCAAUGUUGUGAAGGCCUCAAUUUGAGCAUCUGACCACUGGAAUGAUUCUUUUUUUAGACAGUCAUGAAGUGGCCUAGAAUUUAUCCCAUAAUUCUUGACAAAUCUUCUUUUUCUACAGCCAUACCAAGAAAACUCCUCAACUGAGUGAUAGUCUUAGGUGCUGGCCAUUCUUUGAUGGCAACUAUUUUGUGGGGUUCUGUAGAUAGACCCUAUCCUUAGAUAACAUGCCCUAAAUACUCCACUUGAGGGACAGGAAAACUGCAUUUGCUAAUCUUAGCAUAUAGUUUUUAUGACCUUAGAAUGUCCAGGACUAACUUGAGAUGCUUGAGAUGAGCUUGUUUGGUCUUGCUAUAUAUCAGAAUAUCAUCAAAGAAUACCAAAAGGUAUUUCCGGAGCAAAAACAUGAUUCAUUAAAGAUUGGAAGGUAGCAGGUGCAUUAGUGAGUCCAAAUGGCAUCACUAAGUAUUCAUAAUGACAAAAAUAUGUCCUAAAAUUUUGGAAUGUCUUCUCUUCUCAUUCUUAUCUAAUGAUAACCUGAUCUCAAAUCAAGUUUGGAAAACAGUUGUGCACCAUGUAGCUCAUCUAAUAGAUCCUCAAUGACAGGAAUAUUGAAUUGAUUUUCUGCACUUAACCCGAAAGCAAGUUUGAAAACAAGACCUGCUCUGUGAAGUGAUGGAAGUAGUGAAGGUUUAGGCUUCGGAUCUGUGAAGUUCAGGUUUUGGAGUAGAGGUCAGAGGCUAGUGCGGGUAGCCCUGUCGGAAACUAGAAAGAAGAGGCUGAUGCACCUGCCCGGUGGUGGGUGGAUUCAGCUCGAUCAACUGGGAUAGGAGUUUUUUCUCUAUCUUGCUCCAUGGUGUUCAAGCAGUGCGUCUAGAAAGCUGUGAUUCAUGGGAGGGAGCAGCUUCAAUAGCUUUGGCUGUGAAAACUCUUGGUCUUGGAGCAUCAGUGUCAUCAGUUCACCCAAGAUCAGCAGGACAAAUAACUACUAGGUUUGUGCCAGAAAAGCAUCUUGCGUGACGGGGAAAGAGUGGAAAAAGAAAGAGAUUCAUCAGCUAUGGAAUCUGACAGGUAUCGGUAUUGAACAGAGGGGGCUGUUCACAAAGCAUCCCAUGGAUGGUAAUGGUGCUUCCCCAGCUGUUGUUCCUACUCCUUUGGCUGGUGCCAAAUCAGGUGACUUUGAAGUUGAAGCUUGCUCGCAGAAUGAUGUAACCAUGCUGGUAGUACUAUGAUUGCCUUAGAGCGCAGAUGUCUCUGUCCCUAGGAACGUGAUGCUUAGGUGCGAGGUGAAACACAAGCAGGAGAUCGAGAAAAGAAAUCAUACGGAUUGCAACCUACAGAUGAAGAAUCUGCUUCAUUGUUCCCACCAUCUAUAUCAGAUGUUUAAUAAGAAUAGGAAUCGAAUAAGCUGCUGAUUGACUGAGGAAGCAUUUGAAAAGAAAGGAAGGGUGAUGCUUGUUAAACAAAGCUGCGUGUGGGGCCGCCACGUAUAGCUGUAGUUUCUACUGUAGCAUCGGUUAUUUUCAUUAUUGCUGUAGUAGCAUCGGUUAUUGCUCAGGUUACGAAUGACCCAAUCUAUCUAUGGCAACCACCCCUACUUUUAGUAGAUGGAGAUGCGCACCUAGAAAAGAUGGAUGAAAGAGAACCUGCCCUUCUGACAUCUUCUCUUGUCUGUCCUUUACGCAAAGCGAUCUAUGGUCUCAACAAGCCCCGAUAGCGUCGGUUUUUGAAGUUCAGCACAGUGGUUAUGUUAUCCAGGCAGGGUUUGCUCGGAGUGAUCAUGAUUCGGCCAUGUUCGUAUUAGUUUAUCCUCGAGGACGUGCUAUUCUGUUGUUGUAUGUUGAUGAUAUCAAACUGACUGGUGAUUACUCCGUUACCAUAUCGCUGAUCAAGUGUCGCCUUCAUCAAUUAUUUGCUAUGAAGGCGCUGACGCACCCUAAGCCUUUUCUUGGCUUGGAGGUCGCACAUUCUCCUCGUGGAUAUUUGGUAUCUCAGAUCAAAUAAUGUCAUGACUUGAUCACUCGAGCUCAACUCAAUGAUGAGAAGACUGUUGACACUCCCUUGGAGCUUUACGUUAAACUCCGUCCGACUGAUGGCUCACCCUUAUCUGAUCCGACGCAGUACAAACAGUAGGUCAGCAGUUUGGUUUAUCUGACAAUCUCUUGCCCAGAUGGCUUUUCCUAAGAAAGUCAGCCUUUCAUGGCUGCCCCCCGGUCAGUUCACUUUGCAGCAGUUCAUCAGAUUCUUAGAUAUAUUCGAGGUACCUUUUCUCGAGCCUUCCUUUUUUCCGUCAUCGUCUUCUUUAGAGUUGCGUGCAACUACUGAUGCCGAUUGGGCCUUCAGAUAGGUGCUCAACUACAGGCUUAUCUAUUUUAUGGGGAGAUGAGACACUAUCUUGGAUGAGAUAAAAGCAAUAGACAGUUGCUCCUUCCACUGCCGGAGCGGAGUACCGUGCCAUGGCACACUACUAGAUAGAUUGUAUGGCUCCGUUGGUGACUUUCUAAUCGCGGGUUUCAUUUGAAAAACCCCAACGCCAUUCAUCUUGCGUCAAAUCCGGUCUUUCAUGCAAGAGUUUCAUUUUUGGCCGCUACUACGUUCGUCGAAAACUUCUUGAUGGCACCAUCAUCUCAUUACCUUAUUUUUUCCCUUCGACUUCGGCUAUGAACAAUGCCCCACCUAGCUGAAUAGGCGUAACAAAGCUACCUAAAAAAAGGCAAGGUGCACCUUAGAUUGAAAUCGACAAAUUGCAUUCUGCCAGAUGGAUUCUUUAGAAAGAUUCCCGGAUAAAGUUCAGUAGAAUAUUUAGUUAGAAUCUAAAUAAAGGCGCAUACGUGGGCGGGCAGGGGGCCCCACUACUUCUUCAUUCAGGGGGGGCUAGCCUCAUGACUUCCCACUGGGCGAGGGGUGCACCUAACCCACCUUCUCACUCAUCAAUUACGGUGUUCAGCUGACUUGCACAGAAAGACCCCUAUUGUUUAGUAAUUUGGCGCCCCAUCUUUUGAUUGACUGUUGUCAACUAAUCUUUUCAAUGUUCAAUUCUACUCUAUGUUAGAACAUUUCUGUGAAUGCUAUUUCGAGCUAAGUGGUCCUAUUCUCUGUCCCGUGCUAGGAAGCAUUACUCCUAUUUUCAUUCCAAAUUCUUCAAUAAGACCGAUACGAUUGAUUGGUCUGUGCGUUUCUCUUAUUACUUUUUUGUAUCCCCCUAUUCCUCGGAUACAAUUCGAUCCUUCUACGGCCAAAUAUCAAUUUGUGGAAAGCCUUCGAUGGCUUCCUUAUGAAAACAUCCAUUUGUAUAUGGGUAUAGACGGUCUUUCAUUAUUCUUCAUGAUAUUGACCACAUUUCUGAUCCCUAUUUGCAUUUCAGUGGGUUGGUCUGGUAUGAGAAGUUUUGGGAAAGAGUAUAUUACAGCAUUUCUAAUUCGUGAAUUUCUAAUGAUCGCUGUGUCCUGCAUGCUGGAUCCUCUACUAUUCUAUGUUCUUUCUGAAAGCGUGCCAAUCCCUAUGUUGUGCGGAGCUGAGCAUCUUCUAUUCGCUGGGAUCAAGCUUUUCCUCUGCAGGGGCCUUGUGCAGUAAACCCCCUACGGGCGGUCCCCCGUCGUCGUAAAGUAGUAAAGGUCCCCGCGAAGCUUUCAGGAAGAGGGGUAGUCUUGUGCGUAAGCAUAGCAUUUCUGGUCGAACCACCGAACCACACAUCUUUUUUGGUGGGAGGGUACUUCGAGUAGUGGGUACCUCGUAGGACCUCGACCCGCCUACUCAGGUCUUGUAUGGAUAUGCAGGAAGGGGUGCUCCUAGGUGUGUGUUUGUUCGCGAGAAUGAAUUCCUCGUCAAGUCAGGGGGGUGUGGACACACUUGCGCGAAUUCGGGUAACGGCUACAAGGGAUAAAAAUAAAGGAAACUGUACCCGACCAGGGAUGGACGUAAACUCGUAAGCUACCGAGGGUAGGGAUAAUCGUCCAGGUCUUAUUAAAAAAAAGCCGCCCCGCCACUGCAGGCAGGUUAGUUCCUCUGUCAUUGCCGGAGAGUUCUUGGCGAAGAGACCUUAGGAUAAGUUGCUAAAACAAACGGAGGGGAGGAUCGACCCGUUCAGUAGAAUUCCGAAGAAAGACUGUUGGCAGCAGGUGGAGACAUUUCUUUGGCCCCCUUCCAAAUAAAUGCGGGCAGGGUAGAGCUCGGCAGAGGGUUCGAGAAUAGGGUAGGGUUUUUUACGGUCGGGUCCCCUACCACUAGUCCGGCUAGCCUUCUUUCGGGCAGGAAGCAAGCCUAAACGACGGGCGAGCAUCUCCCGCUACGCAAGCAGCAUUGUCUGCCACCACCCGAGAAGCAAAAGACUCGAGAGUCAAGGCGGAAAAGACAAGCAUAGUGGUCUAAUGACAAGGCCCGACGACGGAAGCUCGGGACGGAGCCGUAUGAUGCGGAAGUCUCACGUACGGUUCCCUGAGAAGGGAGUGGCUACCCACUGGAGCUUCGACCAACUACCACUGGUCAAUUCCACUUUGGGGCCACCCCUGACUCUACCAUCAUUAUAGGGGUAUGGGGUUCGAGACAAAGAAAGAUCAAGGCAGCAUAUCAGUUUUUCCUAUAUACUUUACUUGGAUCCGUUUUUAUGCUAUUAGCUAUUCUGUUGAUUCUUCUCCAAACAGGAACCACCGAUUUACAAAUUUUAUUAACCACUAAAUUUAGUGAGCGGUGCCAAAUCCUUCUAUGGAUUGCUUUUUUCGCCUCUUUUGCCGUCAAAGUGCCUAUGGUACCAGUUCAUAUUUGGUUACCCGAAGCCCAUGUAGAGGCAGCUACGGCUGGAUCCGUCAUCUUGGCUGGAAUUCUUUUAAAAUUGGGAACCUACGGGUUUUUAAGAUUUUUCAUACCCAUGUUUCCCGAGGCGACACUUUGUUUCACUCCUUUCAUUUAUACUCUAAGCGCGAUUGCUAUAAUAUAUACUUCCUUGACCACUUUAAGACAGAUCGAUCUUAAGAAGAUCAUUGCCUACUCCUCAGUAGCCCAUAUGAAUUUGGUGACUAUUGGUAUGUUUAGUCGGGCGGCGGCCGUUAGGUCACUAUUUUGAGUUAUGGACACACAAGCAAGGCCAAAACAUGUGUGCUGGGCGUGCGACCCAUCAACCUACUAGCAAUAGGGGAAAAAACUUAGCAUGUCGCAACAAAAGUGUCGAUUCGAGGCGUCAGCAAAACACCGCCGUCUGUUCCUAAAACAAAACCCCUUAGCGCCCCGGGACAGGAGUGGGGGACGGCCCUACGCAGACAGCAGCAGCACCGGCUCUACGAAGUCCGAAUCGAAUCUUUCGGUUGGCUUUCCCGUGAAUAAGAAUUGUUGGGCGCGGCGAAGCGAGCGCUUCUAGCUGUUUCGCUUGCUUCUUUCUUAUUGUGGUGGCUAUUAUGGCGUGGCUGAAAUGAACGAAAAGCGAGAUGAUUCAAAUCGAUUGAUAGAUGGCCUGAUCUGUUCUGAUAGAUCGAAAGGUUUUCUAUCAAUAAUAAGGGUUGACCUCUUUCUAUCUAUUGAUGAUACAAGAUAUCUAUCUAUUCCGGAUCCAUCAGAAAGAAAUCGAUAUGUAUCUUAUUUUUUCUACAUCGUAUGUAGAGCGCCCAAGCGUUUGGCCAGCUCAGUUCUAUUAUCCAUCGGUCCAAUGCACUGGCUCAUCUCAUGGAGGGAAAAAGCAAAUGUAGUUAGUUGUCUUGUUGUUGUUCGCCGCCUCGACACAUUCCCCGGCAUCGUCCCACACAGAAAGAAAGAGCGUGGAGCCCCGGCCCGACCUGUAAGUCCGCUAACGUAAAGCAAGGAGUUGAGCCUGAACUGGCAAACCGAAGUCACUUUCGUAACCAUACUUCCUACAGCUAACACGUGUCCAGUCCAGCGGGAACGCGAAGCGCAAACGAACAUGAGCUGCUAUACCGAAUCCCCCGCUGGCCAUCGGGGACCUAGUGGUAAGGCCAUGAUCCGCAGGGGAAGGGAUCACUCAUUCUUCUAUUGGGGACAGGUGCACGAACUACAACUCCAAACGUCAGACAUCCGCCGCCUAUACCUACCGUUUAGGUGGCACUAGCGAGAUCCAGCUAAGGUAAGGAACUUCGUGUCGCGGCUGCUCCACUCCGCUGCGGUCUUUUGAACUGAACUUCGUUGCCUUCCCGCGCGCGAAACGAAUGGGCGCUGUGUCGUNNNNNNNNNNNNNNNNNNNNNNNNNNNNNNNNNNNNNNNNNNNNNNNNNNNNNNNNNNNNNNNNNNNNNNNNNNNNNNNNNNNNNNNNNNNNNNNNNNNNNNNNNNNNNNNNNNNNNNNNNNNNNNNNNNNNNNNNNNNNNNNNNNNNNNNNNNNNNNNNNNNNNNNNNNNNNNNNNNNNNNNNNNNNNNNNNNNNNNNNNNNNNNNNNNNNNNNNNNNNNNNNNNNNNNNNNNNNNNNNNNNNNNNNNNNNNNNNNNNNNNNNNNNNNNNNNNNNNNNNNNNNNNNNNNNNNNNGGCAGAGAGAGACCAGAAGAAUGAUUCAUUUGGAUCGACGAGCCAUUUCGCGAAUCAAUAGAAUGUCUCUCUAUCCAUAUCUAUUCUAUCUUUAUAUGACGGGCCAUAAAAAAGAAGUAUUUUUUAUGGCAUGCGGGAAACACCUUGUCCGAGUCAGGUGAUGCUAAAGGAUGGAUUAAAAAACUCAUGGAUGCUAUCUCUGUUAUUGCUGCUUAAUGCCCUAUUUAUACCGAUCUAGCUUAUAGCUGGGAUUUCUAGAAAGAUAAGUUGAUGCAGCCCUCAGGGAUGGAGUGCCUAAACUAACCUUCCUGAACAGAAGUAGCAGAGGUAGAAGAUAUGUAAAUCGUACCAUCAAGGGGAAAUGCAGUAUGAUUAUGCUUGGGCCAGGUUAGCUGAUCAAGGGAAUAUUCCUAUCGGAAGAACAAUCAGAAAAUAAGGAGAUAGUCAGUUGGCACUUUUCACACAAGAACCGCUUUUCGUAUUAAGCACGGGAGUCGUAAGGAAAGACCUCUGCGUAGCUAUCAGAACGAAUUAAUGAACAAAAUAAACGAAUUCCGGUGAAACCAAGGCGAAUUUCUGAGCCAGCAGUGAGAAAAAGAUGCCAAGUAUUGAGAUGCAACAUUAUGAAUGGUGCGAUCCGAAGUCUUAUUAUUUACUCAAAAUUGACUCAAAUGGUUGACUGAACUUCACAGAGGACUAAAGCUGGGAACUUAAACUAAUGGUUUUGCCUUUCCACUUCCCAAUUGACUCUCAUAAAAGGCUAGGCUACCUCUUCACAUCGCACCUGAUCCCGAAUCAUGUGCUCUGUUCAGGGGAUCAAUAGUGGCUAUUAAGCUUUUCCCUUUCUAUAUAUUCUUGAGAAUAAGUAAAUACCAUCCUUUUUCCUAUCAGCAUCUCUCUAUCUGACAGUAAAUAUUGCUUUCAAUCGAUCAGGCACUAGGUUAUUAAAGUAUGGAUAUGCCAUAUAAUAAGGGAAAAGGCCUCAAGUUUUUUUUAGCGCAAAAGAAAAGCCGAUUCCAAAUUUUCUAUUUCCCGGCAAGUCUAUGAGAGUCCUAUUACGGAUCCUCUGAUCUUUAGCUUGAAUGGUCAUGUUUUUAUAUAAUUAGGUCUUUCUUCUGACCUCUUCUAUUACGGUACGGAAAAAUCAAACCUAUCACUCUCAAAGAAUGGGUAAAAGGAAUUCAACCUAGGGGAGCCUACACUCUCUAACUACCUAUACUACACCCCCAUUGAUUGGAAACCCUCGGGGAAAAUGAUCCCAUAAACAAAGGAAUUAUACAGUACGAAAUAGCAAAAAAACAGACUAAUUCUAUUCUAAAAAAUCGAUAAUAGAUAUUUUAUUCUGCUUAAAUUGUCCCGACAAGGAGAGAUAUUCAAUAUUUGAAUCAGAUUGGAUUUCGUAGUAUACCAAUGUGAGCCAAACUAUUACUAUUUCAUCUAACUUGAAUAACCAAGGACUGAAUUUGACUAUGGAUUCUGAUAACUCGAGAAGUUUUUAUUUGGUUAUGAUCCAAAAAGAAAAAAGAAAGGUUUAACAAGCCUAAAGUAACCAUACGUUCUGUUUGCAUAACGUGUAUACGCCACACCAUACAAUCGAAAUAGAAACAUGGGACGAUUCCAGAAUUUUGAAUAGAUCCGUGGGGAUGAGAGAAGUUGUUGUUGAGAAAUAUGAAAUUGGAAAGGAAGUCAAACUCCCUAUGGAACCUGUGAUCGGUUGUACCUGUACUUUAGUGAUACAAAAACUCGCUAUUCACUCAGUUUCUGGUCAAUAAUAAGAUUAUGUAGGAGAGAUCGCCGAGUGGUUCAAGGCGUAGCAUUGGAACUGCUAUGUAGGCUUUUGUUUACCGAGGGUUCGAAUCCCUCUCUUUCCGUUUCUGUUAAUUCACCAACGUUACCGACCACAAUGAAAUUGCUAGUAAGAGGAAAAUCCGUCGACUUCCUAAAUCGUGAGGGUCAAGUCCCUCUAUCCCCAAUAAAAAGCCCAUUUUACUUCCUAACUAUUGUACCAACCUCUAUUUUUCAUUAAUGGUUCAAACAAGAUUCACUAUCUUUCUUAUUCUACUCUUUCACAAACGGAUCCGAACUGACUUCUUUGGAUCUUAUCCCAUUCAUACAAAUGAACAUAUUAUAGUAUAGGCAAGUAAUCCCUAUUAUUAAGUAAGUCAUUCACAAUCCAUAUCAUUAUCCUGAUAUUUACUAAGUCCAAUUUGAGAAUACUUUUUUCUUUUUGAGUCCCUUUAAUUGACAUAGAUACAAGUACUCUACUAGGAUGAUGCACAAUAAAUAGUCAGGAUAGCUCAGUUGGUAGAGCAGAGGAUUGAAAAUCCUCGUGUCACCAGUUCAAAUCUGGUUCCUGGCACAGAACGAACAAUGAAUGCCUUUUUGGGAAAGAAAAGGGCCACAUAUUUUUUAUAGGGAAAAGCUUUUUUAAGGGGAAGAAUCAUCAACAAAAAAUCCAGGAAAGAACAGUGAAGGAAAAACGUGAAAAAACAAGUGUUUUCCCAGAACGGAAUAGCGGAAAUUCCAUAUGUUGAUCACCAAUGUUGCAUGUCUUUCCUUAAGCUAGGGUACUUUGAGUUAGAAGGCCUACUUUAUUCGUCCUUUUAAAGCCUACCUAUUCGUCUAGCUAUUUCCAAUUCUAAUAAAUAACCCGAUCAUAUCAUAUCUUGGAAAACCCUAAGACUACCCAAGGCUGUACCCUACAGUGUUACCUAUAGUCUAUACUUGUGUAUACGUUGCCUUCUGGGGUGGCAAGCUAGAACCAAGUUUUCUAGGUAUCAAUUCCAAUUUAAGUCAAUGAUCCUCAUUUUCUCCAACAUUAAGAAGAUUAUUGGUAAGGUGACCAACCAUCACGCAGGAUUCCGGGUCGGAGUAGCACCUCUUGCCUGAUAUAUACAGGUCGUUACUGGCGAUUCGUUUGUGCCCUAUGGUGUUCAAUUGCCCGUUUGUUCCCUCCCCCUCGGGACGGGUCAACCUACUUUGCCUGCUCAGGCGCUCCAAAAUGCUCUGACUAGACCGCCGACACCCAUGAUUUGUCCAUCAUUCAAAAGGUAGGAGGAAUCAUAGAUCCUCUGUGCACUUUCGCCUAGAGUUAGUUUUAUUUUUCACUACUGUCUGAGUGGUGGCUAAACCCUGAAACUUUUCCUUGAAAUGAAAUAAAGAUCUAACUUUAUUCCAGUAGUGGUUUCUGCAAAUGUAGAUAAUCUUGUUGAUUAACACCCACUUUCCAUACCCUGCAAUUCAGAGGCCAUCACCUCUGGUCUUUUAGUAACAUAUCAGUAAACAAGGCUCUCCUCGUGUAGCUUUUUGUUCUCGAGGAAGAAAAUCUCAUUGAUUACUUAGAAUGCCGGAUGAAGCAAGUUACAGCAUUGGUUCUUUCGUGAUUCACGUAUAUUGGAAAUCUCUUUCUUUAGGAAAUGGGAUGGCAUUCAAUUCUAACUUAGGGAUUCUCUUCUUCCUGAACAUUCAUGAAAAGAAGGACUCUGGCUUUAAUGCUAAAGUUUAGUACUGGGCCGAGCGUACUUACCUACUUAGACAAGAGGGAUACUUAUAGAUCUCUAUGAGCGUAAGGCAAAGUGGGCAAGACUACUUCCACAACUACAUUUUCGCUUAAGCAGGACCUGUGAGACCUCGAAGCAACCGUCUACUACUAGUUAUAUAUGCUAUUUCUAAUUGAAUAGAAUGGAUGCUUCAUAGCGGUUCUGCGACAGGCAGGGCAGCCGGGUGAACAUAGGCAGCUGUUCCUAUAGAACACAAGUCUUUCUCUAAAGCACGACCUUCCGAUUGGACUACGUAUGGUCUCUAUCCUUUUUAUUCCUAAAAUGGGUCCUCGAUCAAAAUGAUCUGGUGUCUAUGUCCAUGCCUGAGGUUGGUAAACCCUAUAUCUAUUGCGGGGUGGUUUGAGGAAGGGACAGCUUGUAACCCACGACUUACUACUACGAAGAUUCUGGCGGAGAGCUUUUCACAUAUAGAUAGGUCGGGAUGAGGAAGCUCCGUAGUCAACUAAUAGAUAGAAAAUCCACCUUGUGAACCGUGUUUGUCUUAAAGUACUGUCUGAGAAGGAAUAUACCUGUUCCAAUCCCUCUAGUGGCUAUACUGAUUGACAUAGGUAGCUUUCGUAGUCAAAGCUCACAGGGCCAAAUGCUCUAUUGGAGUGGGCACGAACACACACAAUCAAGGUUCGAAGAACUUCGGAUUCUAUGACGCUCACUCAAUGGUGUUGUGGCGAUUGCAAGCAAUCAAUAAACGAGGAAGCCAAAUUAUGGAUCCAGGAAGGCUGCAUCAGAAGGAAGAGUAGGUGUUGCUAUGCCGUUGGCUGGGACUGAGACAGAGAGAGGGGAGCAUAGCCCCUAUGAUCCCGGUAAAGAGUUCCAACUAAGCUCUUCUCAGGUUCUUUCUUUCUCUUCCAUUCUUAUGUUUAUAUAUUAAAGUGUUGUUUUCUUACUGAAAUAUAAUAAUAUUAAUCUAAUAUGCCCAUUGGUGUUCCAAAAGUACCUUAACGGAUUCCCGGAGAUGAAGAAGCGACUUGGGUUGACUUAUACAAUGUUAUGUAUCGAGAAAGGACACUUUUUUAGUUCACUGCCCUAUACAUAGAAAGAAGUGCUUUUCCACCGGUAUCAACAUUCCAUCUGGAAUCAGUAGCGAUAAUUGUUGUAUUGUGAGCCAGCCCCGUAAGACACUACGCACCUCCAAAUUCUAUAUGAUUUUUCCAAUCAUUUCAUUUAUACGACCUGCAAAUAAGAUAAGAUCUUGGCUCGCCCUACAAAAAACAACUAUAUGCCCUAUAAACUUGCUUGCUUCUUUGAAUCUCGAAAUAACAUAUAGAAAGUGUUUUUGUGAUGAGACCAUUCUCGAUCGAUAAAUGCGAUAGGAGCCUAUGUGUUUCACGGGCAGCCGGCCAAUAGGGGAAGGUUGUGAAUCCGGCGAACCGACCGCUUUAAGAACGUGAUUCUCUUCUCUCACUCAGUUAUCAAUUGACAAAGAUGACCCAUUCUUUUUCGCCCUAAAAAUGACAAUGGUAUGGUACUUUUUCUUCAAAUCGAGAUUGUGUGGGUGUCCGCUCAUGUUCACGUUACAUGCUAAAUCAGGCUUUCCUUGGAAAAACCAAGGACAACCCCUAUCUCAGUCUCCUUUCCUUUCUCUUUUCGGGAGCAGAGCUUAAAAAGAUGGAGUUACCUGGAGAUGAGAUUUCUUUCUAUGGAUAUGAAGGAUAGAAGAGUGACUUUGUUUUUCACCAAAAUCUAUAUUUGGGUGCGCUUUAUUUUUCCAUUCCAAAUCCAAAAAUUGAUAUUCUAGCUAUGGUUCUCCUUAAUAACGUUAAGAUUGUUACUUCUUCUCUGGAACUUGUUCGAUCCUUUAUUUGCGACGGAAGCACUCAUCUUCGCUUCCUUCUAUAGCGAAGCUAGUGUUACUAUGUUAGGUGGUAUGAAUAUGAUGGGCGAUGACGACCUGUCCCGCGCCAUAGCCUCGUAUCUCCCGCAGGGAGGUCAGGCUCCAGUAAAUAUUCCCGAAGGACGACCGCUUACAGUGGAAGAGGAAGGCCGUCUUGCCCUGGUGUUGGAUUUGCAAAAUCAGAUUGGCACUCUUCUCAAGAAUAUCGAUCUUAACUCGUUCCAGAACCAUCACUUUGAAGAGGAAAGCGCCUCUGAUCUCGCCGCGGCGGCCCUACUCCAUAAAGAAGAAUAUCUCAAUGACCACACAAAGUUAUGGGAAGUGCGUGAAGGGCUUAAUCUUUAUAAAGACAGCUCUAGGUUCUACUUUCGCGUGGUAAAAUGGGUAAAGGUCGAGAGAAAGGUUCGUAGCGGGGCGUUGCCAAGAAUGUUCAUCAUUGAUGAUGACGGUGAGGGAGAAGGAUAGUUACUGGCGUUUAGCUUCAUCUAGAAAGAAAAUCGGCCUUCCACCACUAAAAAGGGUAAUACUCGCUCAAAGUGAUGAAAUCUGUCGAGGAAACAUAAGCAGUUUCCUGUGUAGUGAUCUCUGUUCAUGGAGGUCAUCAGGCCACUGACACCCUUGUGGGUAGGUGGGGGGGGGAGAAGAGUGGGAACAAGGGCUUCUUUCACUUUUUUGUUUUCCUACAACGGUAUCUCCGAACUCAACGGCUCCCACGAUUCGGAGCGAUAGCGAAUUCAUACAAGGACUACUAAGCGAAUAAUUGCAUUCCUUCCAGGAGGUCGAGCGCACGCUUUCCUCGGUUUCGAAUCAAGGGACAAAGAUAGAUCCUCGGUAAUGGCAAAGGGGAUAGCCUUGCUUUUGAACAUUCAUGUGCAUAUAUUUUCAUUAGAUGUGCAAUCGAAAUCAGUAGGAGAGAAACUUUCAUCCCUAUAUUUCCACUUAAAUGGAAUUAGCGAUACCUUUGCUUUUAGUUUGAAUUCAUGAAUCCUGUUUCUAGUGGCGAGUAACUACUACGAAAGGUACGGAAAACGGGAAAGGAAAAGCACAGGAAAGAAGAAUAUAUUCAAUAAUGUCAUCCUUGUUUCGGUACCGGAUUCAACUUGUCGAGGCUUCUGCUCGUAACGUCACUCACUGGAUCAAAUCAAAGGGCUCGGUUUCUGCUCCUCGGCAAAGACAACGUAAAUUCAAUAGGAAUCCAAAUCCUAAAAGGCAAGACCCAAACCACCGGUCGAUCAACAAUUCUUCUUUCACUUCCAUCUCUUGAUACCUGUUUUCUUGCUUUUCUUACCACUGCUGUAGUGAACCGCAUCUCUAAGCACCGGGAGUCGUAAACCGCGCACAAGGUCCUUCUUAAACUAGAAAUAAGUGAAAUAAUUGUUCUGGGUCACCUUGGCUUUUGUGUUCAGUAGUUAGUAGGGGAAGUUGCUCGGCUUGGUAUCUCUCUUCCCUGUAGAAAACCAAUCACAAGUCCCUCCUUAUUUUCACUCCAAAAAGCUGGAAAAAAAGAGCAAAUCUCGGAUAGCCUAACUUGUUUUUUGCCCUGGAAAAGGCAGCUACUAUCCCUGCUGGAUUUCCAGAAAACGGAAUGUACCUAGGGAACCCUAUUGAUCAGAUCAGAGACUGAACCUAGUGAUCUUUCUCCUGCUGGCAAGCAUCGAUACCUGUCUCCUAAUGAAUUGAUCUUCUCUUGGGCUCUGAUUCACACAAUCGAAAAGCCCUUGUGAUGUGGGUCACCCUUUUCCUCUAUACAUCUGUUCAGCAAAGGGGGCUUGCUAUUCUCUGCAAUUGAAGGUUGGGCCUACAUAUCUCUUAUUUGUGUGGAUCAACCAUCCAACCUUUCUUCUUUCUUUCCAUAAAAGCGUAGGUAGAAUGCGUAUAGUAAUGGUAGAGCUGAUGUAUGGCUAAGCAGGGCCGAUGGAGCUCUUGGAAAGAAGUCAGUAUCCAGCUUAUCCCUAGUCUAGCACUCUGCUGUGAAGUCAGAAACCCAUUAACAAGCAAGUCUGUAGUGAACCUCUUCCUUAAGGGAUUGUGGAAUGCACACAUCCUGGAAUACAGUUGGGUGAUCCAUUAAGCUAAGCAAGAGCUAUGAACAACCUAGUGACGCGGUGGCAAGCAUCAAUACGAGGAAGGUGAUAGAUCAGAUACGAUUUCCUUCAUAGGAUACUCUUUUUCCUUCGGAUUGUGGAAUGAUAGGAAGGGCCUAAUAGUAGUGAUUUAGUGCAAUGUGAGGUGCCCCGCGCGUGAGACUUUCUGAGGUUAAGAAAAUAAUAAUAGGGCGGAUUUCUUAGACUCGGCUCUAUAGCACUCUUUGAGUAAGUUCGUUAACGAGGUAGCAGUUCUACACGAAUGAAAACAGACCUAUCUUCUCUUUCUUGGGCGGGGCACCAAAUUCAUGUAUCUUUACCAAUUAACCAAUUUCUUGACGCUGGGGUGGAUCCUAAAGAGAUACCACUUCCUCAUGAAUUUAUCUUGAAUCGAGACCUUUUGGCUCAACUUUAUCCUAGUUUUGCCGAAGGAGCAACCCCUUUUUUCACUUUAAAUUGGUCCAAAUACGCAGAAUUUCUGACUUUUCGCGGAGGACUAAAUCCAGUAACCGGUGGUCUCUGGCUGACCGAUAUUGCACACCAUCAUUUAGCUAUUGCUAUUCUUUUCCUAAUCGCAGGUCAUAUGUAUAGGACCAAUUGGGGUAUUGGCCAUGGACUUAAAGAUAUUUUGGAGGCUCACAAGGGCCCAUUUACAGGACAAGGCCAUAAGGGUCUUUAUGAAAUCUUAACAACGUCAUGGCAUGCUCAAUUAUCUCUUAACCUAGCGAUGCUAGGCUCUACAACCAUUGUUGUAGCUCAUCAUAUGUAUUCUAUGCCUCCCUAUCCAUACCUAGCUACUGACUAUGGUACACAACUUUCCUUGUUCACACACCACAUGUGGAUUGGCGGAUUUUUAAUAGUCAGUGCUGCUGCACAUGCAGCAAUUUUUAUGGUAAGAGACUAUGAUCCAACUACUCGAUACAACAAUCUAUUAGAUCGCGUCCUUAGACACCGCGAUGCAAUCAUAUCCCACCUUAACUGGGUAUGAAUAUUUCUAGGUUUUCACAGUUUUGGCUUGUACAUUCAUAAUGAUACCAUGAGUGCUUUAGGCCGUCCACAAGAUAUGUUUUCGGAUACUGCCAUACAAUUACAACCUAUCUUUGCUCAAUGGGUACAAAAUAUCCAUGCUACUGCGCCUGGCGUAACAGCUCCUGGUGCAACAACAAGUACUAGCUUAGCGUGUGGAGGCGGCGAGUUAGUAGCAGUAGGUGGCAAAGUGGCUUUGUUACCUAUUCCAUUAGGAACCGCAGAUUUUUUAGUCCAUCACAUUCAUGCAUUUACCAUACAUGUGACUGUAUUAAUACUUUUGAAAGGUGUUUUAUUUGCUCGGAGUUCCCGUUUGAUACCCGAUAAAGCAAAUCUAGGUUUUCGCUUUCCUUGCGAUGGGCCUGGCCGAGGGGGAACAUGUCAAGUAUCCGCCUGGGAUCAUGUUUUCUUAGGUUUAUUCUGGAUGUACAAUGCAAUUUCGGUAGUCAUUUUCCAUUUCAGUUGGAAAAUGCAGUCGGAUGUUUGGGGUACUAUAAGUGAUCAAGGGGUGGCAACUCAUAUUACAGGGGGAAACUUUGCACAGAGUUCCAUUACGAUUAAUGGGUGGCUUUGAGAUUUCUUGUGGGCACAGGCAUCGCAAGUCAUUCAUAUACUUAUGGUUCUUCAUUAUCUGCAUAUGGUGUUUUUUUCUUAGGUGCUCAUUUUGUCUGGGCCUUCAGUUUAAUGUUUUUAUUCAGCGGCCGUGGUUAUUGGCAAGAACUCAUUGAAUCUAUCGUUUGGGCUCAUAACAAAUUCAAAGUUGCUCCUGCUACUCAGCCUAGAGCCUUGAGCAUUAUACAAGGACGUGUUGUAGGAGUAACCCAUUACCUUCUGGGUGGAAUUGCCACGACAUGGGCAUUAUUCUUAGCGAGAAUUAUUGCAGUAGGAUAGUGGCUAGGAGGAUUUGAAAGGCAUUAUGGAAUUAAGAUUUCCCAGGUUUAGCCAAGGCUUAGCUCAGGACCCCACUACUCGUCGUAUUUGGUUUGGUAUUUCUACCACACAUGAUUUCAAAAGUCAUGAUGAUAUUACUAAGGAACGUCUUUAUCAGAACAUUUUUGCUUCUCACUUUGGGCAGUUAGCAAUAAUCUUUCUAUGGACGUCCGGAAAUCUGUUUCAUGUAGCUUGGCAAGGCUGGAUACAGGAUCCUUUACACGUAAGACCUAUUGCUCAUGCCAUUUGGGAUCCUCAUUUUGGCCAACCCGCCGUGGAAGCCUUUACUCGAUGAGUUGGCUGUCUGCCAUAAUCUUGUUGUCUUCUUCUUUCCCUAACCUUAUCUUAGCCUUAGGCGCCUCUCGGAAACUUCAUAAUCUGAAUCACUUUCCUCUCCGGGUAGUAACCAUAACUUUAACUAGGAACUCAGCAUUAUAGGACCGAGUCUUCUUUAGUAGUAGCUGUCUGAGUUUUUCCACUUUCCCCGAUCUCCGCCACUUCAUCCGUUGUGGCCCGUAAUGUCAUAGCUUUCAGGGUUGGGUUCUGAUAGAACUCUAUCCAUAGAGACCUCCUCCAUUUGCUCGUAUAUAGCACUUAGAAGAGUGACUUCUCCCCGAUAAGGGUUUAGAGUAUAGAGAGGAUGCCUUUCUAUAAAUAAUAGUAAUAGUAAAAGACAGAAAGCAAAGACUAGAUUAGAUGUCCGGCAUUUCUUUUUGAUCGAGUUUUUCGAAGAUUGAUUGGACUUGAAUUCCCACUUGAUUGCUUUUUCUCUCUCCUCAUGUUUUGCUAAUAGUUUUUAUCAACAUGGAGAUACGAAAGUAGAGAACGCAUUGCAUUCAAUGUGAUUUCCGCUGCCUUGCUUCGAUUUCAUGCAUUUAAAGGCAGGGUUGAGCAACCAAUCAUAAGCCAGCGAGGAUGCAUUUCCCGUGCCCCUAUUUAGUUAGUACUUUCGAGUUAAGAGCGAGAAAACGAACUAUUUCAUUUAUUAAAAAAAGUGCAACAGCUGUAGGGUGAAAAGGCCAUGAGGAUGGCUACGGCUUUGAAGCUCCUUUAUCUACCAUAGAUAGAAUGGAAGAGUUUUUUCUCACUGUUGUUUCUGAUGUAGGAGUUGGGGAUGGAAUGAUUGAUUCAAGCUUUGGUGGUACUAAUCAUGUCUCUAGGAGUAAACCAACUGGAGAGGCAAGGGAACAUGUAGUACUGGAGAGGGGAUCUCAUAGCAAUACUGAUUCAAGUAAUUUCAGAGUUACCAGAGAUGCAAUUGGUUUAGAAAUAUGUACUAGAAAAUGGUAAACUAAUACUGACUAUUCUCUGUGGAUAUCUGGUUGGACACCAAGCAUUUUGACCCCUAUUUGAAUGUAGAGUCAGAGUAUAGAUAGCUAAACAAUGUUGUAAUAUAUUUAUCUACCAAAUUAGAGUGCACAGUCAUUUUUCUAUUGAUGUUCCCAGAAAUGCAGUUCACUAGGGAACACCUUACAGGUUGGUCAUGGGUAUGGGUAUGCGCCAUACCCCUCAGUAUGGAGUACAUUGGGUCAGGAUUGGAUAGCAAGAGUUGUCGGUAGCCGGCAUUAGGUAAAAGGAAAAGCUCUAUAAAAGCGAAGAAAUGAAAUCGAAGGCUGAUAGUAAAGCUGGGGCGGAUUUUGAGUCGACCAGUUCGCUGAGGGCAAGAUUGGAAAGAGUGGUAGAUGAUAUUAGGUACUCUGUAUGAAGCGAGGCGUGCGAAAAGAAAUAGCAACGGGAAGAAGAUGAUUUUAAUGGUAAGGUAUCUUUAUCUCGAGACGAAUCGCGCGAGAUUCCAGAUGAUGCGGAGCAAAGCGGAACCAAUUGUAUGGGCACAAGAGGAAAAUAACUAGUUCUCUGAAUUUUUCUCAUGCGAACGAGAAGAGAAUUGCAGAGGAGAAUAGAGCUCAGCAGAAUAAGGUGAGGGAAAAAUUAUGAUGGACUCUCAAAUUGUGGUGACUACACUCAGGUAGGCCACAUCGCCUCAAUACUACUGCCCGUUGGAUGCAUCAAAUUGGUUUCGCAGAUCUCGCCUCGCACUCGCUUAGAGGUCAUGUCCUUUCCCUUCUCUUGCUCUUGCGGCGGACACAGUGAUUCUUCGUUCUCUGGUUGAUGGCUUUCAAAAGUCAAUUCCAGAAAGAGCCAUUUGAUCCCCAUCAAAGUCUGCAUUGAAACCCUUACACACUAAUAUACUUGAUACUCGAUCUAUUUCACCAUACUUCUACUUCCUGACAUUAAGAAAGUUUAAAACAAGGUCCUUCAAGAAGAAAGGAAGCACAUGCUUGAGACCAUUACGAUUCCUGUUAGUGAUGGUGCACUUGCAGCUAAUGUUAGCUGUAUUCAGUCUCUGAGUGGUCUACCUGUUGCUGCAUCAUAACCGGCCGACUCCUCUAUUGGUUGCUGCUGGUUUAUACCUGCAUUCCAAUCCGGUUUGAUUUAGAGAGAAAUCUCAAUCCAGCCUCAAUAUUUUGGAUUGAUCAGACCGCCUAUUGUAGAAGAGAUUGCUUGCUAAAAAUAGUACCGCAUUUGUGCUUAAGAAAAGGCUUUCUUGUCCGGGGUCUAUAUCAACUUUUAAUACACCACGCACCCCACUACCAAAAACUUCUCUUUCAAUUCUAAACAAAUAGAAAGCUCAGGCGGCUGCUCAACGAGGAGGUUCAUGCUCGUUAACUUACACUUACUUUUAGCACUUCUCUACCAGUUCUCUCUCAUAGAUAAGAAUAUCCUGCUCUUAGCACCGGUUUUCACUUCGUGUAGCAGCUUCUUCUUCUUUUGUCUACUCAAACACUUCAUCCAUGAGAACCCAGUUUUGAUCAAUGAUAUAUUCAAAAAGUAAGAGCUACUCUAUUAAUCUACAUACCUUGUCUCCGGCCACCAUGUUUUCUCCGAAGGGUGAAGGCGGAUUCUCUGAACUUAAAAUAAGGGCGAAGGAUACAUACAAUAUGCCGGGUCUAAAGUGAAGUAGUACAGACACAGGAAAUCAGAGAAAAACUUAGAGAGUCUCCAUAAUCUAGACUUCUCGGUUUCUUAAUCGGUGUCUAUCUUACUAAGAUACUGGUGCAGCUUAAGGUGCUGGUGCUCCACCCCGCUCUAAGAAGUAUGACUGUGAUUUGCCAAUACCCAAAUGGGUAGUGUACUGCUCGCUCCCCUUCUUCUUAAUUCAUACUUGUUUGCACACACAACCUUCCUAUAACUUUCUGACCUGGAUCCAACCAAAGAAGGAAGAUGUAUGGCCUCCCUCGAACAAAAGAAGGAAGUAUGGGAGUUUACCGGUAGGCAAUGACCACAUCCAAAGUAAAGUGCUCAGCUCAAAGAAAGAAGGUGGUGGGGGCUUCGAAGAGUGAAUAAGUUCGUUCACAGUGAUGUGUAAUCUCUUCAAAUCGAGAGAAGAGGUGUAGGCAGGCUUACUUGCUUAGUAUGUAUUUUUUAUACAAUCAAAGACCAAGGUCGUACGGAUAGCAAUUCUGGACCAUAGGCAUAGCAGCACAUAGGUAUUCUCUCUUCUUUCUCAAUUCAGAGAGGACACUAUCUUAAUUCUUGUGAAAAGGCAGAAGCAAGUGAAAGGGCAGUAGUAUUAUAUGAGUUCUAAAAAGAAGGGCGAAAAAAGUCAUGUAUGAUAGUGGUAAAAAGCCUUCAAUAGAAGGGAAUAGCAACCUGACUAGAAAUUCAUAGCUGACUAGCGUACGAACGAGUUGGUCAGGCUAUGAAUGAAGGCUACUACUCUUCAGGAAGAAGGUACUAAUAGCUCGCUCAGAGGUUCAGUCAAGCUCCUCACUCUUGGUCUGGCGGGGCAUAUUAGAUAUAGUAGUGGUGUUUUGAAAGCUUCUUAUUUUUUCUAAUACUAUAGUAGGAGUAGGUCAGGUACAUCUUCUUAUACUAGGGAUGCUUUUUUGAAUCAUUGAAAAAGCUUUCAAUAGUCUUAGUAAGUUUCAGAAAGGAGAAUACCAAGGUUGAAUCAAAGAUAAAAGUCAAGCAGGUCACACCGCCGAUGAGUUGUGUAGGAAGGAUUGCUUGUCAAGCUCUUGCGGAAUUUGGACUUAUUAUUUUGACUUAUGGCUCUGAGAAAAACCCUUUUCUAGAUUAGGCUUUUAGAUCUACGAAUUACGAGAGAGAUCUCCGAAAGUAUAAGCGAGAUGCUCUUACACCAGAAAGAUAGUAUAAGCUAGUUCUCACUAGCCGGGCCCUUACUCCUACUACUCACUAGCUGAGCCCUUACUCCCAUCUACUACUUCUUAUUAAAGCUGCAAGUGCAGAGGGGAAUUUCGCAAGCUAGGAGGAAUAGAAAAUCCUAACUAAGAAACAAUCAAUCAAUCCACUAAGUCUAUUAAGUAAGAGUUAUACGAAAUACUCUGAUUCAAUGUACGAGUGACUCAAUCCCAAAGGUCAAUCCAGCCAGCCGAUUUUCAACAACAAAGGAGUUCACCGUGGAAAGAUAAAGUCUAAUGACAGACACUGGUAAUUCUCUCACUGGGCCGGCCACUAGAAUCAGUCAAUGAAAAAGCAAGCAAGGAGAUGUCCUCACUGGACAUUUAUCCUAUUUGUGAAAUCCUUUCUAUGUUUCUGAGACCCGGAAACCUGUCAAGUAAGUAGGGAUUUCUUUAUCCCCAUCCAUGGUUUCUUUUACUUUUUGAUAGGCGUCCGGCGCAUGCAUACAACCAUUCCUUCUUCUCCUCGAAAUGUCAGGUCGGUCGGAAAGAAAGCGCGGUGUAGCUGGCAUCAACAUCUCUUGUUAGGUUCGCACGCACAAGGGUGGUGGGUAGGUCUCUUUACAUGUCCCGCGAGGCAAGGAAUUCUUCGACCAAUGAUAUCAUGGUAUCAGAGUCACCGAUCGAGAUUUCUCAUGGCUACCCAUUAUUUUCGCUUGAAAGAUCUUCACAUGUAGGCGGAGCCGUCCCUUUUGAAAAGUGGAUCUUUAGUCCAUUCAUUCUAAGUACUUUAUUAUUUAUUCUGUAGAAUAAGAAGGUUUCACAGGCAUGUGCUUCAUGGCGACAAGUCGUAAAGCAUGGAUAGGUGGAAAUGCGCUAUAAAGAUUCGGCAUCGCUCGAUCAAACAAAGGGAAAAAUCAUCAAGAAUCUGAUCUUGCUCUGAAUCAUCUACCAAGGGUUCACUGUCAAUGCAAUUUGAGUUGGCCAACUCCGGUGCCUCUAAGUCAGAAGUAUCUCUAUUGGCAAGCUCUCAUUGACAUAAUCCGGGGUAGGUGUAGGGAGCUGACUCUCAUGUGGAUCAAGAAAUAUCUCCGUAGUGCUCAGGACAGGCCGUGAGCAUCUUAUCUGCUUGGAUCAGGUAACAGCUUCAUUUCUUUUCAGAAGCUCAAACACAGCGUUUUCCAAUAUAGAAGCGGAGUAGUUCUUGUGCAAUCUAGGCAUAGGGCUACUAGAAUCCAUCACUAAAAGAGGAGUAUUCCGAGCUCUAUCGACACAAUAGGACUCUAGAUAUUGGCAACAAAAGGGCACUUACCCCUAAACUAGAUUACUCUUCUUCUUCCUAUGAUAAAGCGGGGGCUGAAAGGGACUCUUUAAAGUACUUCAACGUUAUCACUGGACUUUCGUGUCAAUAGAAAGAGAAGGUAUUUAAGCAAUGUGUGUUUUGAGAUACAAUCAAUCGAAGAGAAUAAAACUGGGUCCAAUAAAAAACAGGAAUGAAUUUAUUCAAAGGGAUUGGAAAGGGAUAAGUACAAAGGGAUUCAACGAUCUAAAAAAAUAAAAAAGGGUUUCAUAAUCCCCUCCUACGAAUAAAAAUUAGUAAAAUAAUGUGGAUGAAUAAGAUUUUGCUCUAUUUUGGAUCGGAUUUGGCGGCAUGGCCAAGCGGUAAGGCAGGGGACUGCAAAUCCUUUAUCCCCAGUUCAAAUCUGGGUGUUGCCUGACCAAAAAAAUACUUAGGAUUUCUUAUUGUACUGAUUGAACUCGACAAAUUCUUGCCCUGCAUAACCAAAGGAAAAGAACUAGGCCUGUCGAUACUGGAUUUUACCAUAGUUAUAGUUCUAAAAAAGACUGUCAAUUUCUUCUUAAAAAUAGGGCUCUGGUAGGGUUCUGGGUAGUGGCCCAAACCGAUACCAAUAGGGAUGAGGGAUAUAUACUUAUGAAUUUCAUAAUUGAUUCUAUUACGCAAUUCAUAACUACGAAAGUAAGAGGUUGGAAAUCUUUUUAUCCAAAGGUCCCUAAAGGACAUUCCUUUUUUGCUCCUAGGAUUGAAGAAGAGAUUAUACGAAAGACUAUCAAGACUUCCUAAUUAUCUAACACUACCUACACUAAAGUAAGGUCUACUGACUCUGUCUGGAAUUAGAUUGGAUAGGCUGAUGGGAAAUUUAGGAGUUGUGGAAAGAAGAGACUUUCUUUCCAUACUUACGAGAGACUCCGAGUACUCAAACAUUCAAUCAGGAUGGUCGGUUAGCUCUUAUCUUUUAGAAUAACUUAGUAAAAAAAGUAAAAGUAAUAAAGAAAAUGAAUCUCCUAACUCGGUAGCCCAUGAGGUUCCAAUGGUUAGUUUUGGAUUUUUUCAGGCAAGAAAGCAAAGAAGAAGGGAGGAUUCUCUAUUACCAACUUCCCCCAUUAUCCUGUCCUCAUUGGUCAUUCAUCUUUCCCGAUCUAGUGCCAUCGUUCUUCAAGGUGCCGGAGGGUUUGAAGCAUACCUACUACCCCUUCCCUUAGCUUAGUUCAGAGUUGCCUCAGCGCGCUCGAGUAAUAACUGGGAAAAUCAAGGCUGGACAGGUCUUCGAGCCAACUUCAGGAAGAAAUGCAAGUGAAAGAGAAUGCUCUCGAGGGCGCAGGAGUCUUUUUCUGUCUUUCUUAUUUGAAAUCCAAAUCGAAAUGCCUCAACUUGAUAAAUUAACUUAUUUCUCACAAUUCUUCUGGUUAUGUCUUCUCCUCUUUGUUGGAAGAUGAGUACACAUCGGGUAAUCCGCCCACGAGAGCCCAAUCACAAGAGGCUCAUACAGAAAGCAAUCAGCCCACAACCCAAUAUCGAGACCACAGCCUAUUAUUCAAACCACAAAGGAUCCGUCUUUCAUCGUCCAAUCUUCUCGAUCGAACAUAUUGACAUCAAUACUCCUUUCCAUGGCCAUUCACGGCCCGCGAAGAUCAACCACUCGUGCCCGAGAUCACUAUCCAAUCAAAAACCAGACUUCCAAGAUCCAUCUCACUCAGACCCUUUUGAAUGUAGCAGAUAACAACGGAGUGGGGCUAUCGAAUUGAUAUGUAUUCGAAUCUUAGGAGCUGGUAAUCACUGAUAUGCUCAUAUUGGUGACGUUAUUGUUGCUGUAAUCAAAGAAGCAGUGCCCAAAAUGCCUCUAGAAAGAUCAGACAGAAGUAAGACGAGUUGUAAUUGUACGUACAUGUAAAGAACUCAAACGUGACAACAGUAUGAUAAUACGAUCUGAUGACGGUUGUCAUUGAUCAAGAAGGAAAUCCAAAAGGAACUCGAGUUUUUGGUGCGAUCGCUCGGGAAUUGAGACUUAUGAAUUUCACUAAAAGAGUCUCAUGAGCUCCUGAGGUAUUAAAAAUACUAGUAGUAGAGACUAUGAUAUAGUAGGGUAUCAGAAUAUAGAUCAAUUAGUAGAUUGUGUCUAACGCAUAUACAUGAAAAAAAAGAAUAAUUAGAUAAUAAUAAGAAUAAGAAUUCGAAUCUUAAUAAAAGGAAGGGUUCGAAUAGCAUAUACUAAUAUUACCGAAAACUUUGUGAAAAUACUUCUACGAGAAGGUUUUAUUGAAAACGUUCGAAAACCAUAGGGAAAGUAACAAAUCUUUCUUGGCACGUGCCCCUGCUCCUGGUCUUCGAACUAGUCAUUAAUGGUCGGCAACAUAGGUACCCUUUUUCGGUAUGCAUUGCGAACACUUUCAUUUUUAGCGUCUCAUCUUCUCUAGAGAAGCUCAAAUCGAACGGAAAGAGCAGAUGGUCCAACUACAGAACUUCUUUUUCAUUACUUCCAUGGUCGUGCCCCGUGGCACGGCAGCACCCAUACUAUUGAAAUGGUUCAUCAGUAGAGAUGUUCCCACUGGUGCCUCUUCUCCCAAUGGUACUAUAAUUCCUAUUCCUAUCCCUUUAUUCCCUUUUUGGUCUAUCUACAUUUAAGGAAAUUCAUAUGCUCCAUGGACAGAGCAAAAAGUGGAGUGUUGGUUAAAGCAAGCCGCCCUAUUCUAUUACCAGACAAAAUGGAGAGAAGCUCAUCCGCUAGAAAUGCUUUAUUUCGUUUCGUUCCCGUUCUUCAUUUCCUUAUUAUCGAAUCCAUGGGGGACUUGUCAUAUUUAGAAUCUUUCUGCGGUCUGUUCUGUUUACAAUUCUUUCGUACUCUCUUAUCUUUACCACGCGAUAGGUCAGCGAAGCGUGAGCGGGCGCUCCGAAGUAAAGGCCAAACACUUCGGCCUAAGGGGAAUGAGCAACAAAAUGACAAGAUGAGGUGCCCCGGGCACCCCCAUAUAGAAAGAAGGGUCGAAGGUUUUGGGCCUGUAGCUUUCCCCGCCCCCCCCUCGUCGAGUGGUGCUUGUUUGGGGGGUGUGCCACUAGAAAGCGGGCUUGAAGCUCUCGCCUUACCAACGAGUCGACUGCUGAUGGCUGUUGGUCACGACUACUACAAAAAACUGAAGAUGAAUCUUUCUAUUUCACAUGGAGGAGUGUGCAUCUUUAUGUUGGGUGUUCUUCUGUCGUGCAACCCGAUGGCUUAUGUGCGACCUGUGGCCCACGCCUCCUAUUCUAUUUGUUCAGGGCGGGCGGCGUGAACUCUGAUUCCCGGGUAUUCAAUCCCACCGCUGAGAUGCUCAGUUGACUCCUUAACCUUGAUAGGAAGAUGGCUUAUUCCAAAAUUCGUGCAUAAGGGUAAGGAACUUUGGAUGAAUUAAUGCGAAUGGGUGUAAGCCUCGCUGCUCGGAAACACCCAGUGCUGACCACACUGAGAGACACGAAAGCGCAGGUAAUGCCAGUUGGCAAAGUGGCGUUAAGCAUCCCUAGCGGUACGCAAAGAGAGGUCGUGAUGAUAUCAUCUACGUCAGUACUGCUCCUCGUGGAGUAGAUCCCGCAUCCAACCAACCCUUUUUUGACCAAGGAACGAGAGAAUUCCCACUACCGCUGGCAGGCCAUCCGGGCCGUGAGCGCGGUGGGAACGGGCUUCCCAAAAAGCGAGCCCCGGCCCGGGUCAGCAUAGAAUGGGGGGGACGGCCCUAAUGUUGUGUUGGCCGGGUUGCGGGCGGAUAAAAGCGGACGUGGGGACUCGAGUCGGGGCACAGCAUAACUAAGAGAGCCAUUCCAUUUAGGGCGAGACAGAAUGGGCGGGCACAAGUGGUCUGGUGUCCGAGCCGAUUGGUCAGACGACGACUACUGCACAUAUUAGAUUCUAUUAGCCGCCUAUCCCGGAAUGGACUGGGAUGGAAUAGAAAGAACGCGAAGCAGCAAGCAAGGGAUGAGCGCUUUGUUGCUAAAGCGCAUACGUUUUCUUGCUGGGUCGGUUUGUUUUUGGGGCGUGGGGCAAUAAGCUUGCUUCUUCACAAGGUUAUCCCCGCCCCCUUUCCUGUCCGUCCCGAUCGGAAGCAGUUGGGUCUCCCCAUCUCUCCUCAACUUCCCCGGUCUUCGGCCCGAGCUGUAUGAGGCAGAAACUCGUCCCACGUACGGUUCGGAGGCCGAGCCCCACCCCUGCAAUAAUGGUGCGGCUUAGGUCAACUAAUACGAAUAAGAUACAGUUCACUCAACGAUUGCCCUUGGGUCCCGAACUCCAUAUGGGGAAGGAACAUUGUUGUUUGCGAGGUCUCGAUCAUUUACAUGGACCCACUUCUCAUUCCAUUUGUGGGAAUUUGAUGAUUUAUAAACCGUCCCCAACGAGCGAAAGGUUCAUGUUUGAACAUGAUGAAUCACUUCGUGCCGACCUGUUGCCCAUAAACUUUCCUGCCUCAUAUGAGAAUGGAAAACUGGAAGAUUUUCUGCAUCGGUGGAUGAAGAAUCACGAACAUAAGAAUUUCUGGUUUAGCAUGUUCCCAGAAAGAAGAUACUUCUUUUCCAUUCAAGAAACGAGGAGCACGACUGAAGUGGCUAUACAUACAAAUCCAUUUACGGAUCUAUAUGCUCCGAUUGGAACUGAAAGUUCCAGAACUGGCGGCUGGUAUACCACCACAAUUAAAUUGCCUUUUAUUUUUAGUAUUCGGAUAGGAUUUCUGUUGGCUUCAUCGGGAGGCUCGCGUAGUUUGUUACGUCAACUCCUAAAGGAUAAGUUGCAUUGGAAUCGAGAAAGUUUCGUUCAUAAUUGCAUAAAAGGAGUAAAAAUAGUGGCUGCGGCGCGUCGAGGGUCAACCUUUGAUAUCGAAUAACCUUUCGAGCCUUCCCCAAUGGAUCUCUAUACUCCUUUGAAACCAAUAGAAGUUCACUGACCAUCCCUAUCAAACAUAACCCAAGGUAGGACCAAGAGGAGAAGAAUAGGACUCUUGCUAGUAUCAUAACCUCUCGAUGGGAGAAUGAAACCAUUAGAUUAGUGGAAAGAAGAAAGAAUGGGAAGAAACCAGCCAACUUACCAAGAGGAAGAAAUGAUGACCACUUUUUGUAUUAUCUCGAAAGUUUUCAUUGGAUCUAGAAGUAAUCACAACGUCACUUUUCUUAGGAGAUUUCAUGGUAGUUUUUGGAAACUUAUUGAUUAAUGAGGUCAAGAGACUCUAUAAUUCGAAUGAUAUGUGGAGAGAGCGGGGCGUCUUACCCGCAUCAAUCGAUACCAUGGUGUCGCAUAUACACGAAGGUUAUUCUUCAUUUCAUCCCAAAUUGGUAUACAAAACCUAUAAAUAUGGUAGGGGUGGUAUGACUUUGCAGGAACAUUUCACUCUGGAAAGGCAAGAUGAGCUUGGCUAUUUAAGUGCCAGGCGCCCACUCAUCAAUGCUGGUGAUUGGCCUUGUAUGGCUACGCCAUCUCUUCCAAUAGAUGUACUACUUUUGAAAGCGUUAGCUAAUAUCUUAAUGUGGGAGUUUCUAGUGAUAAGAAACAAUCUUCCGUCUAGAUUAUUUUAUUAUAAUGAAAUGUUGGAUUACCACCAAAGGUUCUGGCAUGGUCAAAGUGGUGUAGAGAAAAUAGUCUGUGUGGAUUUCAGUCAUAGUAUCCGGUAUGUUUCUACUCCACGUCUAUGGAAUACCUUAAAGUGUCUACACAAUCUGGGUGUGAUUUCCCACAUCUUAAAGGAAUUUCUAUCUCUCCCGAUAUAUAAUGCUGCCACUAACCUCCAAAUUCCUCAUUCGAAUUGUAUACCAUUGAUAGGUGAAUUGAGCGACGUGCUCCUACAUCUCUUUUUGCAACAUCAAUUCGAUAGGGAGGUCCUAAGCCAGUAUGAAGGUGUUCUUUAUACAAGAUGGGACACCAAUGUCCUUCUAGCUUCAACACGCUAUGAUUCAUAUCAGCUUGACCGUCCUCAAAUUCUGGACAUCUUAAGGCACGUAAAUCUAAGUGGAUUUAUUUCCGUGAUCGAACGUGGUGGCGGGGGCAUGCACGUGAACCCUGAGAAAUCUCAGAUAUUCCUCAGUGCAGAUGGUGAUGUUAGUAUCCCUCAACUAAGCGAAGGUGAGACUGACUAUGAUAGUGAAUGAUUCCGGGGAAUUGGAUAGAGUAACCUAUUCAUAAUAAUGAUGAGUAUCCCCGGGGGCAUGUCCUACUUUGUGAAGUAAGGUUCAAAGAAAGGGAGAGAAGAGAUAGAUGGAUCUGAACCUGGAAUCAAAGGGAUCUGCGAAAGGGAUUUUGAAGAAUCUUAUGUCCUUGAGAAAAGUAAAAAAGAUAGGAAAGGGAAGUAAUGUCAAACCUGAAAAAUAAUAUGGCAUGAGAGAUUGAAUAUAGGGAGGAAUGAAUCGGGCAUCAAGUAAACUAAGGCAUCAAGGAAAGUAAGACUUGAGGAUGGAAGGGAGGAAGGAACCAAUAAGCCACCGUCAGUGUACCAGUCAUUGGGACAGGUGCCGUGUGUUCGGUCUACCUGCCUUUAGUACGACCCGGAUGAAAAGAUGCUGACUUUUCUUAAAGGUUAGGCCAAAUGAUUCUAAGCUUGAGGACCCAUUCUAUCCGGGCCUAAAUGCUGGAGUUUCAGAAUUCACUCUACUUCUUACUGACUUUCGCCGAAUAUAUCCUAUGUGCUUAACACAUUGACGUCGGCGGCUAAGCUUUCUUUCUAAUGGUGAGCCGGGGAUCUAAUAGUCCACUUCACCCUAUCAAACUUGACCUCGAUAUAGGUUGCUUUUUGAUGACUAGUUAAUAGAAUAGACGGUAUCUAUUAUUUUCUACCUCCUCUACCUAGAUCUCCUUUUCCUAAGGAGGGAGAGAAGACGGUUCUCCGGGACGGAAGACAUCUCUCACUCGUACAUAUAUGGAUGGGUUUUCUACCUCAGAAAGGGAUGAAAUUGAGCAGCAGAGAUUGCUAAAAUAGCAAAGGGGAUCCAGAUUAUUUCAGAACUCCAACUGAAUGAUGCUAUACUCGAAUCUGAUUCUGCUGCAGCUUGACAAGGACCUGUGAAAAUGCUGAUAUCUCGAAUCCCUAUCUUAUUAAAAUGGGGUAGCUUUACUGAAGUACUGCAAGAAAAGUAUGGAAAAAAGCAUAGUCGGUACUUCUUAAUGCGGUACGUAAGCUGGUUAUCCUGACUAACAAUCAUGCCUUGCUUGGAUUUAGGGAUUAGGAAUUCUUAUUGGGAAAGAGAUUGGAUUGGCAUUCAAGUAGGAGUAGAUCCUAUUGGUCCAAAGUAGGCAUUCUUGUAUCAAUUAAAGUAGCUAUCUUCAUGAAAUAAGCGCUAAGAUUCUAGUUCAAAGAUAGGAGCAUUAAGCUCUAAAUCCAGUCAGUCCAGCUGGAAGUUUCACUAACUACUUAGGGAACUAGGGACCAGACCAGAGUUAUGAUUGGUGUAUUCCAUUCCUACCGUAAUUGAGACUUGCCCUCGCUCGCGGGUGAUUCCUUAUAGCUUGAUCCAUGUGAUGGCUGUUCUCUGCAAUGAACCACAACAUGUCCAUGGACUUCACAGAGAAUUGAGUGAAUGCACUAAAAACCAAGAAAUGACAUAGCGAGAACUGAGCAGCUCGAAAAGCUCGGACUUCGUAUACAUAAAGUAGAACUAAAAGCAGAUGAGUAGAGAUUGAAUCGAGCAUAGAAAUAAGAGAGUUUUGCUUAGCACUGUUCGGUUCGUCUUUCUUUACAAGUCAAUCUAUGCAUAAUUCUAUUUCUUGCAGCGCUGAAUCCGCUUUUGAAAUACAGAUCAGGGGCGGUAUUCUUAUUCUUUGGCUCGCCACUUAUGAAACAAAACUAGAUAUUUCUUAUUAUUUUCUUAGAGCUGAGCUCCGCAUGCGGUUCGAUUAAGAUGCGACAAAACCUUAUCCAUUAGUCUUGGCGAUGCCAGGGAUGGAGGGAGUCAUCAGUCGCACAAGCUUAUUGCUAAAGCCAAGACAGGACAUAAUAGCUUCUAAGUAAUGCCAUUGUACCCGCUUUCAUCAUGCCCAACUCAAAAACCAUUUAUCCCAUACUUCUUCUUUUCUUGUUCCUUCGUAUGAAUAACAGGAAUCCCAGUUCGGAUAGUUGACCAACAUUAUGAUUGUGUAUGAACUAGGGCUUUGGCUCAACACCUAUUGUCUUUCUUGCCCAUCCUUUUGUGGUAUCGAAGCUGUUCAUUGAGAUCCAUAGGUUCACAUUACAACCCACCAAUAGUCGAUUCCAGAGUGGAAGGCGAAAAAGAUAGGACGGGGACCCUUCGGAAGAAGGUAUAUGCUCGUAGUAUCUAGAAAAUAUUCAUGGUUGCAAGAGCGAGGUUAGUCAUCCUCACCAUCACCAUCAAAUACCGGUACUCGCUUUUUCUACAAGCUUGAUUUACGAACUCGACCUUUCACAGGAAGGAAGUUCCGUAUACCAUCAACGGAGUCAAACCGCUAGAGGGUCACAUAUAUCUAUAUACUAGUUCCGAUCAUACCAGUACUUACUUCCGUGGAGAUACGAGAAAGGGGGAGAAGAUGCGAUUAUGUAUCAUAAAUACUAAGGCCAGACAGACUAAAAGGGGCUUUUGGAUACGAAGAAGGUUUUCACGUCUUGCUUUGGGUGGUAUGCUUCCUCACUGUUGCUAUUCUGCCCUUUCCCGGUAGUCAACCACCAACGAACGCAAGGAGAUCUGGACCUGCAUGUAAUGUUUUUUCUAAAGCAGCUUCCUUACAUCAACAUGGGAUUGAAAAAGGGAGGGAAUUGAAAAAGGCGACUCCUCCUUAGUAGGAAUAGUAGCUGAGGCUGCUUCAACUCAUAACGAAGCUAUUCCAGCACAUAAGUCCGGGAUGAUCUGAGGUCGCUGGUCUCACAUGGAAGAUAUAUGAGCCUCCGCUGGAUAAACACCAGAACUGGUAUCGGCUUCUUUUGUUCGUAACGAACAAGCAACGGAUUGGGGAUUGCCAAUAGAAAAAGAUACAACCAACCAACAGCUUUUGGAAACCAGGAUCACCCCCAUUGUAAAGAGAACACGACACCCCUUUCCGUAGGGGCUCGCAAAGGUAUUAUACUGGAUGUGCGCAGAGAGCUAAUGAAACCCCAUUCCUUUUUCUCUAUACUCAAGGAUCUGCUAUAGCUUGCUUUUCCAAGAGUAUUGUAUUGACCUGAUUCCCCAGGAAAGAGUUGAUGGCAUCUCAACGCAAGAAGGUAGAGAAGAAUCCCUAGCGAAGAUGUGCCGAGAGCGAGAAAGCAUGUCUUCCCCGAGAUUAUUUAUUCCUCUUAUUUCUUAUAUGAAUAACUGAAAUCAAUCCUCACUUGUAUUAACUUCAUGAGUGAAGAGAUAUAGAAACCCUCAAUACCAGCACUGCUCCUAUCAAAAUCAAAUAAUUGGAUUUGUUUCCCCACUUCCUCCACGGGAUUCGUACAUCGGAUGAGGAUUCCUACAACGGUACAACGGAUCAAUCCAUUCAAAUCAACGAAACCAUUAGGUACGCCCCGGGAUCUACUCUAUUUUUAGAUUUGCUAAUGCCGAGAUCCAAUGCGAAAGCAAAGCGAAGGUUGUUAUUCAAUAGUUGUUGCCGGUAAAGGAACAUCGGAACGGGUAUCUUUAGCAAAGCAAUUUGGAUUGGUUGAAUCGUAUUGAGUUCCGGUCUCUUAUAGGGUCUUUCUUUGUCCUACUUAUAGUAUCUUUCCUCCAGCCUAUCGAAACUCGUGUUUUUAUUAACCAACAACACAUGCACUUUGUUAGAACUAAAGAAAAGGUUAUUCAAUCCACUAGUGCAACUGAAUUGAAGGAAUUACCUAUUCUGAACCUCCACAAGAAAGAGCUCAUAACCACUGCUUGUGAAGAGUUCUCCUCAACUGAAGGAGCACUACUUUUACUAUCAGUCUAGUCUCUCGAGGGCACUCUUUCGAUCUCGAACAAACUUACUUCUCCGGAAGAGAGAUAUUCAGAAAACCCGAUUUCCAGUCCUGUCUUAAGAACCCGACUCCAAAGAAAGAAAAAAGAAAAGCGGACUAAAAGAGAACAACAAAAGAGAGAUCACUUUCGACGAUUGAACAACACUUUGAUAUCCAGAUUGGAACUGGACUUGAACCUUCAUAUCCAGAUUUCACUCCACUUUCACUUUCAUAUUAGGAACGUCGACUUGCACUUUCAAUAGUGAAUUAUUCACUUUCCGGAAUUGGCUCGUAUUCACAUAGGCCAAGAAAGACGAAUAAGACCUUGAACUCCCUAUUUCACGUAUAAUCGAGAGACUCAUAAUAUCAGUGCCUUGGGUAAAUGCCUACCAAAGGGAGAAGAUUACCGAACUUUUUUCUGUCUUCUUCGCUUCCUAAAAUAUUUAGGGAACAGGCUGGCUUUCAUGUUCAUAAGUUCUCUUUGUCACAUACAUCCAUCGCUUUCGUCUUUCUUGGCUUACUCAGGUGAUCUAAUUAAUGGGCAAGCCCCACUCAAAGCAAUUCAGUCCCGGAGCUCUUUCUUCUAAAUGCAGAUUCAAUAGCACCGGUGACAAAAGCAAAGGAUAUUCAAUCCAGUCGUCGUCUUGUGGGCCUGCUUCUUUCCGUUCUUUCUCUUCUUUUGCAGAGGUGUGUGUUGUGCCACGCAUACAAAUUGUUUUUUUAGCCAAAGGGUGACUUUACCACUCGCUUUUGGUUCCAAUGGAUAUGGGUUAGAUGGAUGGAGUCUUCCUUAUUGAAGUGGGCAAGGCAAGCAGCUCCUCUCGAAUAGGCUGAUCGGCGAUACGUGAUUUUUGAAUAAAAGCUAGACGACUCAGCCCUCUUCUCAUCUCAAAGCUCGACCUCUGCCACUACUACUGCUUCCCUAGCCAAGCCAUACUUCUCAUUCUUUGCUUGAAUCCAUCAAAAAACAAAUUCCGUCGAGUUUCCUUGCAUGGGUUGAUUGACCUUGAAGUCCAUAUAUAGAUUCCCGUAGUUCAUCUCAACUUGACAAACCAUUGAGAAUGGAACAAAUAGGGGAGAUGGAAUUCUUCUAUAUUGUCUUUCAACCCCUGCUCUUGCCUUGGCUUCGCCUUCCACCUUCAGCUAAGCACCUAACCCGUGGGACGGGACCUUCGGUCUAGCCUUUGUUCGGGUAUGGGACCGACCUAGGAUUCUUCCAUCCGAGUGAGUACCGCCCUUCUGAUUUGGUUUGAGUACGGGACCGACCUUCUCUUUUGUUUGUAAUUGGGCUUGCCCGAAACAAAGGAACUUUGGUGUGAGAACCCACCCGAGUUGGUAACCCGACAUUUUCACCUACGAUUUCUCCCUCGUCUUCUUUGCCUAGCCUUUAGCUUCUUUCUUGUCUGAUCUUAGAUUUCACUGUUAGGAAAUAGGGCAUUACCUGUCACUCUGCCUUUCUAAGAAGGCCUUUCGCUUAGUUGUCCUUUCUACUAGAACUUCCCUUUAGCAGUUCUGGAACAUCUAUAGUAUGUUUGAAUGUCGGAAAUUUUUCUAUAUUCUCUUCCUCCUCGUCCAUUAGUUCAGUUCCUUUCCUUAGUGAAACCUGACCCCCUCCAUCUUUCGAGAACAACAAGAGGGCAUUCUCAAGCAGGCGUAUUCUUCUUCACUUCCUAAGAAGGCAUUUUCUUGCUAACAAGCCAUUCUGGCGAACAAAAGAGCUACUUCUAUCAAAGAGGAGCAAAGGCUAAGCGGAACUCCUCCCUUCGUGUCUUCUUCCUUUCCAAGCUUGUCGCGGGGAAUCUAGGCUCUUUUUCAGCCCCUAAGGACUGCUACUUUGAUGAAUGAGGCCUGACGGUCUUAAUUCCUAAUGCUACUCCUACUGCUAUUGCUAUUGUUACUGCUUUUGGGAAUUGGCAUCUUUCUUCAUAGGGGCCUAGCCAAGGAAAGCUUUCCCAUUAAAUGAAUGUGCUUGCGUACUCUUCGAUUCCUGCGGGAAGUGUGGGACUAAUUGAAUUUCAUUCUUGUCCGCUAAGAGAAUUAUUCUUCCUUAUAGCUUGCAUUCGAUGCAUCCACCGUACUAAGAGCUCCUUCUUGAAGAACCGAUUCUGUAACAACCCCAAAGGAGAAUCUAUCUAAAUAAACCUAAAUAAAACUCCCAUUAUGAUUUGAGAUUGCCUUGCCAUUGCGCCCCUUGCCUUUCUUACUGGAUUUCCAGUUGAUGGGGACGGCUUGGCAAAGAAGCUUGUGUUGGAAGAGAAGUGGAAAACUAAGCUGUUCGGGCUUAACUUAAACCUGAUUGCCCUAGUAGGAGUCAGAAUAAGGUUGAGGCUUGAAGACAAGCAACUAACAUCUCGGAUCUUGCCAUUGCCAGGAGCAUGGAUGCCCAGAAUGCCCUCAGUCUAUGUAUGUCUAUAUAGGCUUUAAGGAAAAAGGCAAGUAAGCCGUAAGCCACAAAUCAAGGCUUUUAAGGACCUUCGACAGCUUAUAAAUAAGCUAAUAACAGAUCUUUUGCGUCUUUCGAGAUGCGAAGAGAAGUAAGAAGGUUUACUAUUGGGAUAACGAAGAUAUGACCAUAUUUUAGAUCGAUUUUCAACAGACGAGAUCGGAUAGUAGAAUAGAGAGAAGGAUUUGCUGCUUUCUUAAAAUGAUAGAGAGUCAGGAGAGGGUCUAUGUUAAUAGAGCUCUUUAGAUAGGGAGAGGAAAGACAUAACUAGACUGCGGAAAGAAUAGAAUCUUUUACCGCUACAUCCGCUUGAGAAGAAAACUCAGCAAAGGAGAUUCCUAUCCUUUCUCUAGUUGAAGACUAAUCUGGAUAUUCCCGACGAUGCUUGACUUCGAGUUCUUGGAGUGACAGCUUUCUUUGUAAACAAGGGUCCCUUACUCUAUUACUUUUCCACUUCAUUGAUCUGAAAGAAGUGACAGAAGAAAGCUACGGGCAUAUACCCCUGCCCCGGGGGAACAGGUGCCACCUCAACAGCUAUAUUCUAAAUCGUUAAGCCUCGCAACCCUUUCCUUUGUAUCGGACCUUUCCCGCUUUCCUUCCUCACUCAAACUUCAAAAAGUCCUUCCAUGAAUCUAGGGAAGGAAAACCACCUCUGACUUCACCAAGUCUCCCUUUCUUUGGUCGAAGGCUUCAGGUCAAGAUCCUUUUUCCUAUCUAUUGAAGAUGCAAAGAGAGAUGCUUCUUCCUCUUCAAGUUGGAAGUGCAAGAAGAAAUGCGGUAAAUAGGAGUUCCAUCUACCACGCACUCGCCCCACACUCCUGCUAACUUCAGCAUCCAUAGUCAGCUAGGAGGAAGGUGCCGGGGACACUAUGAACACACAUGUACUUGGUUGACUUCACGUCCCGUCUCACAACCGGGUAAGAUCAAAUAAACAAACAACUUGCUUGCCCAAUCCCUAUUGAGAGGAUUUCUUGAGCUUGAACUUCCUUUUGUAGCUCCGCUCACAAGAACUUCUUUUCAUCCGCAAUGAAGCUUAUACCACCACUUGGUCAGUAAGGCCUGAUUCAAAAAAAGAUCAAUCACCCCCUUCCCUACUUCAAUGGAAAAGGGGGAAUCGCCCUUUCACAGCCGCCCCUCCACAAAAUUUAUACCUAUCCUUUUGCCUAAGAUGAUCACGAACGAAGACAGAGAAUUGCGUAGAUAGGAGGAGGAAACAAACCAACCCGAAAAAACAAACAAAAGGGAAUGAGAGAAAUGAUCGAAACGAUUGAGGAAAUAAAGAGAAUGGCGGCCCCUUUCCUUUCGCCUAGGGGGCAUCGUCGUCGGGGACAGGCUUCGAGGGUUCUUCCAUAUCUAGAUAUAGAGAUAGAUGAUGAUAGAGAUCUAGAUCUUUCUAUAGAUAGAUCCUUUGAGAAAUUUCUAUUGAUCCGCUUUCAAGAUCUAUGAACAAGAGAGAUCCAAAAAAUCUCCAUGUAAAAAAGAGAGAUGAAUAGAUAGGGCUGAGCCGAUAGCAGGACUGGGUACGAUGAUGGGGCGAGAGAGGGAAAAAACCUUCGGGAUGGAUCGGGAAAAGUGACCUCUGGCUCAGCCCACGACUUCCUUCCCUUCGCAUAGCUCAGGUGACUCCCUUCCCCCUUUUUUCCCAGAAUGAAUUAGCCCGACACGAUGAAUCCUGCCCUCCUGUAUUUCUUUCUCAUUGAAUGAACCACUGUCUGGGACGCCCCUAUGCCUAUGAAUUCAAUGAUUUAAGGGCCCCGGGAGGAAACUUCGGAAAGAAAGCCUACUGGUUGGUCUGGUUGUCCCCUGGCGGUGCCCGGGCGGGCCUCGGUUCAAUCUUGCCGAUUCUACCUAGACAUGGCUCAAAAUGAAGGGGUAAGGCCAAGUGUUCUUAAAACAAAACUCGAAGUGCACACUUCGGAGCACGGUCUUCCGUUAGGUCCUUUACGGACGACGAAAGCCCCUUGGCUAUACUCUACUCUUCGCCUCCGGCUGUUCUGUUCUUUUCUUUUGGCCCAGCGGAGCUGAGCUGGGUUCCAUUACACUCUAUAGGAAAUGCAUAGACAGUCCACGCAGCAAACCGAGGCCCUGCGUGCACCGUAUGUACCGCCUAUGAAUAAUAGGUAGCCCCACCCCAGGCAGAGUUUGUGAGUCGUGUAAUAGGCGACCAUUUCACGCGGUUCGGGGGGCACUUGAAUAAGCCGCCGGCACCCGGCUGCGUCUUUACCCCUAUCCAAUUUUUGGGCCAAUUCCCCCUUCGUACUACCAAAAAAUGAGAUUCUUGCCGAAUCCGAGUUUGCUGCCCCAACCAUUACAAAACUAAUACCUAUUCUGUUUAGUACUUCAGGUGCUUCUCUAGCGUAUAAUGUAAAUCUCGUAGCGGAUCAAUUCCAAUGAGCCUUUCAAACUAGUACUUUUUGUAAUUGACUCUAUAGCUUCUUCAAUAAACGCUGGUUCUUUGAUCAAGUUUUGGAUGACUUUCUAGUCAUAUCGUUCCUGCGUUUCGGAUAUUCAGUCUCAUUCGAAGCUUUAGACAAGGGUGCUAUUGAGAUAUUGGGCCCUUAUGGUAUCUCGUACACAUUCCGACGUUUGGCCGAGCGAAUAAGUCAACUUCAAAGUGGAUCUAUUGUGCGAAGAGUGUGUUAUGAACCGUGGCCGCCUACCUGCUUUGGUUGGUGGGGGCGGCUCCUACGUUGUGGGUAAACGGGAAACCCGACUCUACGAACCCGAGGAAAGGCUUCACAGCAUUGGUAGGGGCGUUAAGACCGGAGCUUUUUGUAGUGCUAGCAGGAAUGCAAGUGAAUGAAUCCAAUCCCAUCCCCUUUAAAAUCGGCGAGGUAAUACCUUAUUGAAGUAGGGCACGCUACGGCAACACAGGACUGACGGGGUGGGGGCUUGCUGUCUACUUGGCGAGCCUUCACUGCCCCCUUCUGUAACUUCCCUUCUUUCGUCCGUCCACGAGGCAGUCAAAAGAAAGAGAGAAAGGGGCGGCUAUAACGCAGGAGUCGUGGCGGUUGUAUGCCACAAGGUCCCUAUAGACAAGGGGACAAGUGAAUCAUCGCUUUUGGGCGCAGGCGGCCCUCUACCAUCCAUCCCAUUGCAUUUCUCUCGUAGAGUACUGUACCGUCUCAGACCAGAUACAUCUAUGGAAAGAAAGGAUUUCAUAGAAAAUCUGCAUUUUUCUAUUUUUUUAUCCCCAUGCAUUCCGUUAUUCCCGUAACUAUGGAUUGAUUGUCCCUACCUAACUAAAUGGUAGUGGUCUAGGGAGCGCAAUUUCUAGAGCACGGGAGAAUGAAGAGUAAUGAUCUAAGCAAGAGCAGCCGGACGGACUACUAUAGUAAGUCUAGUGACUACUAUAGUCUUUUCUUUCUUUGUAGUUGAGGGAGUCCUGGACUAGGGGGUGUCCGGACAGCCGGACUAUCAUCGUCCGCCGGACUCCAAGACUAUGAAGAUACAAGAUUGAAGACUUCGUCCCGUGUCCGGAUGGGACUUUCCUUGGCGUGGAAGGCAAGCUUGGCGAUACGGAUAUGUAGAUCUCCUACCAUUGUAACCGACUUUGUGUAACCCUAGCCCUCUCCGGUGUCUAUAUAAACCAGAGGGCUUUAGUCCGUAGGACACAACAACCAUUACAACAAUCAUACCAUAGGCAAGCUUCUAGGGUUUAGCCUCCUUGAUCUCGUGGUAGAUCCACUCUUGUACUACCCAUAUCAUCAAUAUCAAUCAAGCAGGAGUAGGGUUUUACCUCCAUCGAGAGGGCCCGAACCUGGGUAAAAACAUCGUGUCCCUUGUCUCCUGUUACCAUCUGCCUAGACGCACAGUUCGGGACCCCCUACCCGAGAUCCGCCGGUUUUGACACCGACAUUGGUGCUUUCAUUGAGAGCUCCCCUAUGCCGUCACCGAUAGGAAGGAUGCCUCCUCCCAUCUUCAAGGACGGUAUUUUCGCCAAAGGAGCCUUGGCCGCCAGCCAAACUAUCCGGCUAGGUGGUUUUCUUAUGACCGCCUGUCCGGCCACCGCUUCGACAAUGACCUCUCAAGUCGUCAAAAGCAAUCUUCGCGUCAGCUCAGAAUUCGCCGAGCGGCUGGAUCCAAUAGAGCUCUCGUCCGUAAACGAGCUCUUGGAUCGCAUCGCCGCCCUGGGAGUCGCUAUAGACUACAAUCAGAUUGGGCUUAAAACCGAUCUGAGAGAGAUUAACUCUCCCCAGGUCACCCACCACGUUGCAGUGGUAGAGGAACAAUGCGGCGACUCUUCUCCUGUAUUGAAAACUAGUCAUGUCCGGGCUGCCGAACCCUCCAUGCCGGAUUCCCGCGGAGGGACAGACUUCAAUCAAGCACUGAACCUAAAGUCAGGCAUUGGACCGGACUCGUUGGACAACGUUCCACUUUCCAAGCUUCCAAAUUCAGAAAAUUCUCGGCCCUUGAGCCUUGAGAUGGGUAGGGUUCCGGACUCAAUUCCACCCACCCGCCCAGACAUAUGCGAUCUAUCUCUAAUCCAGAAAGAGCCCGCUGAAACAGUACAUCAUUACUGGGCCAGAUUCCUCCUGGUUAUGGACAGGAUAAAGGACUGCCGAGAGGAAAACGCAGUCUCAAUCUUUUGCAAUAAUUGCACGGACGAGGGAAUCUUGAACGCCAUCAGCCGUCGUGAAGUUACACGCUUCGCCGACCUGGCGUCCAUAGUACGAAAGUACUGUGUGAUGGAGAGUUUCCGGAAAACCGAAAUUACGUUUUGGGACAAUCCGGCCCCGAAUACAACCCUAGUCCGCAAUAAAAGGGUGCAUUACACUCAGGCACCGGGUAUAAAAACCAAAAAGCAAAAACCCCAUAAAGGGCAUGGAACCGUACUGGAGGGGUGGCUUAGCGGACCCUGUAAAAUUCACAGUACAGAGGGCGCCACCCCAACACAUAGCCUUCGAGCAUGUUGGAUAUUACGGCAGGUGGCCAAAAGUGGCGAGAAGCUUCUAGCCCCGGAAAACCACUCCAACAAUACCGUUACGGUAUCAACAGUCUUCGAGACCUUUGCAUCAAAUAAUAUGCGGAAACAAACAAUCCGCAGCCUUGCCGAAGUCUACCAAGUAGCAACAACAAAUCCAUGGAGCGACACAGCCAUCACCUUCAACGCCAACGACGAACCUAAAUUCCGAACAUCCCGAGCACCAGUCGCACUGGUACUUAGUCCAAUAGUAGACGGCUUUCGACUCACAAAGGUCCUCAUGGAUGGCGGCAGCGGAUUAAACCUCAUCUACGAGGAAACUCUUCAAAAAAUGGAAAUAGACUGGAGCCGCAUUGAGCGAAGAAGCACAACCUUCAGAGGAAUAAUCCCUAGCCGGGAAGCGCGCUGCACCAGAAAAAUCACACUCGAUGUGGUGUUCGGCUCGCCGGACAAUUACAGAUCCGAAGAAGUCACGUUCCAGGUGGCCCCGUUGAACAGCGGAUAUCAUGCUAUAUUAGGACGAGAGGCAUUCACAAUUUUUCAAGCCGUACCCCACUACGGGUACAUGAAGCUCAAAAUGCCUGGGCCCGGCAGAAUAAUCACUCUCGUUAGUGAUCCGGACAUAGCACUCCGCGCCGAAAACAAGACAGCCGCAUUAGACCUGGAGGCACUAUCCGAAGCCCUAGCGGCAGAAGAACUCACCGCGCUACACUCUACGGUGAAUAGGGACGAUGUGAUACUCUAUAAGAGAUCCAAGUCCACCUCCUUUAAACCAGCGGACGAAAUAGUAAAAUUCCAGGUCCAUCCAACGGACCCGACAAAGACGGCCUCCAUCGGGGCACAAUUGAACCCUGAUGUAGACGCCGCAUUGCAAGAAUUCCUUCAGGAAAAUUGGGACAUCUUCGCCUGGCACCCUUCAGACAUGCCGGGAAUCCCACGCAGAUUGGCAGAGCACAGCCUAAACAUCCUAAAAGGAUUCAAGCCAGUCAAACAGGCUCUUCGACGAUUUUCCGAACCCAAAAGACAGGCAAUGGGAGAAGAGCUAGCCAAACUAUUGGAAGCCGGAUUCAUCAGAGACAUCAAACAUCCGGAUUGGCUAGCAAACCUGGUAAUGGUACCAAAGAAGGACAAAUCCUGGCGCCUAUGUGUCGAUUUUAAAGACCUCAACAAGGCUUGCCCAAAGGAUCCCUUCCCCCUCCCUCGCAUCGACCAGAUAAUCGAUGCUACCGCAGGACAUGAUUCAUUGUGCUUCCUUGACGCAUACUCCGACUACCAUCAAAUCAAGAUGGCAGAAGCGGACCAAGCCGCAACAGCAUUCAUCACUCCAUACGGACCAUUCUGCUUCAACACAAUGCCCUUUGGACUCAAAAACGCCGGCGCAACAUAUCAACGCAUGAUUCAGACAUGUCUGGCCACCCAGAUCGACAAAACAGUAGAGGCAUACGUAGACGACGUAGUCGUCAAAACCAAACACGUCGAAACUCUAGUAGACGACUUGAGGCUCACAUUCGACAACCUCAGAGCAUAUGACAUCAAGCUGAAUCCGGAUAAAUGCAUUUUCGGAGUACCGGCCGGAAAGCUCCUGGGCUUCAUUGUAUCCGGUAGAGGAAUUGAAGCAAACCCAGCUAAGAUCCGAGCUCUGUCACAACUAGAUAUUCCAAAAGACCUCAAACAAAUACAAAAAUUGACAGGAUGCGUGGCGGCUCUGAGCCGCUUUAUCUCCCGUUUAGGAGAAAAGGCAUUGCCCCUCUAUCGCCUCCUUAGGCGCACCGAACACUUCAAGUGGACGGAUGCUGCCACUGCCGGACUCGAAGAAAUAAAAGCCAUAUUAGCAACAAAUCUGGUCCUGGCUGCGCCCUACCUGGGUGAACCAAUGUUGUUAUACAUCGCGGCAACACAUCAAGUUGUAAGCGCGGUACUCGUCGUCGAACGAGAGACAGAAGGGCAUAAAUUCCCUCUUCAAAAACCAGUGUACUACGUAUCCACUGUGUUAACCCCCUGCAAGUCCCAUUACCCGCACUAUCAAAAGAUAGCGUAUGCGGUGUUCAUGGCAUCCCGGAAGCUCCGACACUACUUUCAAGAGUGUUCGAUAACAGUGGCCUCUGAAGUACCCCUCAACGACAUCAUAAACAACCGCGAAGCGACGGGCAUGAUUGCAAAAUGGGCCAUUGAGCUCUUACCAUUCGAUAUAACUUACAAACCUCGGCGAGCUAUAAAGUCACAAGUUUUGGCUGACUUUGUCGCUGAAUGGACCGAAGCCGAACUCCCUAAAGAGUACGUCGCAUACUCCAAUUGGAUUAUGCACUUCGACGGAUCUAAAAUGUUGGCCGGAUUGGGGGCUGGCGUCAUAUUGACGUCCCCAACCGGAGACACAGUCCAAUAUGUAUACACGGACUCUAACAACGCAGCUGAAUACGAGGCCCUUUUACAUGGCCUCCGGAUGGCAAUCUCCAUGGGCAUUCAACGCCUAGAGGUGCGCGGGGAUUCAAACCUUGCAAUGUCCCAAGUAAAUGGAGACUUUGAUGCCAAGGAUCCAAAAAUGGCAGCAUAUCGUAACACUGUCCUAAAUGUCAGCUCGGUUUGACGGACUUGAAUUCCACCACGUAUCCAGGGAUAAUAACCAAGCGGCCGACGUAUUGGCACGCAUCGGCGCAAAACGUGACGCUGUCCCUCCAAACAUCUUCCUGGAACGGCUGUUUAAGCCAUCCGUACUAUGGGAAGAGGAGUCCGGAAAUACCAAACCGGAAGCAGCCACACCAACCGACACUGAGCAAUCUAACAUAACUGGCGAUUCAGCCGAUGAAAUAACACCUUCAUCCCACGACAUAAUGGCAGUAAUCGCCCCGUGGACAGAGCCAUUCCUAGCCUACUUGCUUAGGCAGGAACUUCCCGAAGACCAAAAUGAGGCCCGCUGCAUAGUCCGGCGAUCUAAAGCCUACAAGGUCCAUGAGGGAGAACUCUAUAAGAAAAGCACAUCCGGAGUCCUUCAAAGGUGUAUCUCCGAAGAGGAAGGGCGAAACCUUCUGGCUGAAAUUCAUGCCGGACUAGGCGGACACCACGCAGCAGCUCAGGCCCUUGUAGGAAAGGCAUUCCAUACAAGAUUUUAUUGGCCGAAGGCCCGGGCAGAUGCUCAGGAUUUAGUCCGAAGAUGCGUCGGUUGUCAGCUCUUUGCUAAUCAGAGCCAUAUGCCACCCACCGCCCUCAAAACUAUACCCAUUACCUGGCCGUUCGCGGUCUGGGGUCUUGACAUGGUUGGACCCCUUAAAGGGGGAACCCACAAGCAAAGGUACCUAUUGGUCAUGGUGGAUAAAUUCACCAAAUGGAUAGAGGCCAAGCCAGUCAAAACGGUAGAGUCCGGACCAGUGAUAGACUUUAUCUCCGGGGUAGUACACCGUUAUGGUGUCCCCCACAGCAUCAUCACCGAUAACGGCACGAACUUCACAGCCGACGAGGUUAAAUCAUGGUGCAAAAAUAUGGGCAUUAAGCUCGAUUACGCUUCAGUCUAUCAUCAUCAAACCAACGGUCAAGUGGAACGAGCGAACGGUCAUAUAAUGAGCGGCAUCAAACCCAGACUAGUGCGGUCACUUACGAAAUCUGACACGCAUUGGGUAGAGGAGCUAGACUCCGUACUCUGGGGGCUGCGGACAACGCCCAACCGUACUACCGGAUUCACACCAUUCUUUAUGGUAUACGGGGCAGAGGCAGUUCUGCCCUGCGACAUCAUUCAUGACUCACCUCGAGUGCGCAUGUACGAAGAAAGAGAAGCCGAGCUGGAUCGGCAGGACAGCUUGGAUGCAUUGGAGGAAGAACGUGACGUCGCCAAGGCUCGUUCCGCAUUCUAUCAGCAGCAGGCUCGAAGAUAUCAAAGCAGAGAAGUACGGGCCAAGACUUACAACGUUGGCGAACUAGUUCUACGCCUGCCGGACAAGAAAAAGGACAAACUCAAGCCCAAAUGGGAGGGCCCUUUCAUCAUCGAUCAAGUCCUGACCGGCGGAGCGUACCGUCUAUGAAAUGCGUAGGAAAACCAGCUUGAGCCGAACCCAUGGAAUGCAGCCCGCCUCCAAAGAUUCUAUGCCUAGCGCCGGACUAAGAGUUCGUCCCCUUCCCCCAUCCAAACUUUUACAUUGUAGCUGUCUUUUGUUUCUCUUUCUUCUCUCAACCCUUUUCCUAAAAAGCCCUUAAAGGCCUACUUGCGCAUUGUUCGCACUCACUUGAUGUGCCAUCCACACUCAUUAUACCUGGGGGACUUCUUUACCAGAAGCUUAAUUAUAAGGGCUUCAUGCUCAGCACAUGCGUCAAGCUUCCACAUGUACCUUUUAUUCACCAUUAUAUGCAUCGAUAUGACUUAAGUUUUGGCCAAGCUGGGUUGCCUGGCUCCUGUGCUUACCUCUACGUUCCCGAUUGUUCGGCUAGGAGGUAAAGGGAGCACCUCUGUGAUUGUUACUGCCGGGUCAGCCGGAUGUGUACCUCAGACUGGGUGAAGCUGAAAGUUAGCGUUCUUAAGGGAAUAUUCGGUCGGUGACUUGAAAGAUGAUUUUUUACCUACUUAUUUAUCUGCCCCCAGAUGUUUUUCUGCUCUUUUCGCAGUCCGGACAUGCAGUUUAGGGCAUGCCUCCCAGGGAAAGGAACCCUUAACAGAACUAUUCUCCCUAGAAGAUGUUUCUUACUAACCAUGUAAUAUAACAUAACUAGUUGGGCACUUGUCUGAUAAAGCACUAAUGACCCCUACGACUGGUCUCCAUGCAUACCCCGGUUGUUUCUUAACCGAGAAGGUAUUCGGACACACUCCGGACUCUAGGGUCCCGAGGUUGAAGCGAAAAGGUCAGCAAAGAUAAACGAUCUACAAUCCGGCUAGAAGGCAUUUCACAUGUCAUUUUAAAAUACAUUGUCAAAUCUACUGACUGUAUUCCUCCUCAAUCCCAUCUAAUAGGCUGUCUAAUUUACAGUCCCGUUGGGAAAAUUUAGCGGCCAACUCUACUUGGCCGUAUACUAAACUCACAGGGAUCUCCUUCCCAUCGGGCCCCAUAGGUCCAACCUCGGCCAUGUGGUUGGGAUCCGCCUUCUUGUACCGCGUCUUCACCAUGGCCCACGCCUCCCUAGCACCUUGGCGGCAGGCCGAAAUCUUCCAUAAACGGAAGCACUGCCGCACUCCCUGAAGCUUCUCCGCAAGCUCCCCAAGGCCCUCGGGUAGGGAGAGGGCUGGCCAUAAAGCCUGGACGACGCCGCUCAUUGCCUGCCGAACUCGUUCGAGCAGCUGCAACAGCUCGGGAAGUUGAUCACCCGUUGAUACGGGUGAGGGAGUCCUGGAGGGGUGUCCGGACAGCCGGACUAUCAUCGUCCGCCGGACUCCAAGACUACGAAGAUACAAGAUUGAAGACUCCGUCCCGUGUCCGGAUGGGACUUUCCUUGGCGUGGAAGGCAAGCUUGGCAAUACGGAUAUGUAGAUCUCCUACCAUUGUAACCGACUCUGUGUAACCCUAGCCUCCUCCGGUGUCUAUAUAAACCGGAGGGCUUUAGUCCGUAGGACACAACAUACAUUACAACAAUCAUACCAUAGGCUAGCUUUAGGGUUUAGCCUCCUUGAUCUCGUCGUAGAUCCACUCUUGUACUACCCAUAUCAUCAAUAUUAAUCAAGCAGGACGUAGGGUUUUACCUCCAUCGAGAGGGCCCGAACCUGGGUAAAACAUUGUGUCCCUCGUCUCCUGUUACCAUCUGCCUAGACACACAGUUCGGGACCCCCUACCCGAGAUCAGCCGGUUUUGACACCGACAUUGGUGCUUUCAUUGAGAGUUCCUCUGUGUCAUCACCGAUAGGCUCGAUGGCAUCUUCAACCAACAACGCUGUCCAGGGUGAGACUUUUCUCCCCGGACAGAUCUUCGUAUUCGGCGGCUUCGCACUGCGGGCUAAUUCGCUUGGCCAUCUGGAGCAGAUCGAAAGCUACGCCCCUGGCCGUCAGGUCAGAUUCGGAAGUCUAAACUUCACGGCUGAUGUCCGCGGAGACUUGAUCUUCGACGGGCUCGAGCCACAGCCAAGUGCACCGCACUGUUACGAUGGGCAUGAUUUAGCUCUGCCGCCAAACAGUGCCUUGGUGGCCGCACACAAAUCCGCUUCGGCCCUUAGUCCGGAGCCAAUCGCCUAGAUCGAGGAUAGGUGGAUGGACACCACCUCGGGGGCUUCAACUUCCACGGCGAUGGAGCCGAACGCUAAUCUUGUCCCCCGUGAAACUCGUGAUUUUGAGGUGCCGGACUCCUCGCCGGACUCCGAACCUCCCACGCCCCUACCAAUCGAUUCGGAUUAGGUGCCGGUUAUGGAAUUCACCACUACGGACAUCUUCCAAUAUUCGCCCUUUGGCGACAUCCUAAAUUCGCUAAAGCAUCUCUCGUUAUCGGGAGAGUCCUGGCCGGACUAUGGCCAGGAUGGUUGGGAUGCGGACGAUGAAGAAAUUCAGAGCCCACCCACCACCCACUUUGUAGCCACUAUCGACGAUCUAACCGACAUGCCAGACUAUGACUCUGAAGACAUUGACGGUAUAGACGAUGAUGCCAGAGAUGAACAAGAACCAACGCCUACAGGGCACGAGAGGACCACCUCGUCAUAUGACAUAUAUAUGGUGGAUACCCCAAAAAGAGAGUGAUAACGAGGACCAACGGGCCGCGGCAGAAGAUAACCCCGCCGACAAACAACCAAAACGGCGGCGCAGACGCCGCCCUAAGUCCCGCCUCGACAACAACAACGCUCCUAAGGACCCCGCAAUACAGCAUGGCACACAAGUGGACGACGAACAUGCAGACAAGCAACCGUCCGAACAGGACGAGUCAGAUAAUCAUUCUAGGCCCGGCGAAAACAACAGUCCGGACGAUCUCAUGCCGGACACGCCGCCGGAGAGUAAAAACCUUCGGAAAAGACUCGUCAACACUGCAAGAAGCUUGAAGAAGGAAAAGCGGAAGCUCAAAACAGCGGAAGGCACACUUAGGAUGAGGUGGAGCAAAGUGCUCAAAACCGCGGAUAAAUACGGCAAUGGCCACCAAUCAAAGAGCUACCCGAAGCGCAAGCUGCUACCAGAAUUCAACGAGGAGGCCACAGAGCCCCCACAGUCAAAGAACAAAGAGGCCGCCUGGUUGGAUAGACGACCGGAUGAUAGGCCAAAUUCUGAAAGCGGCGCCGCACAUAAACCAACUAAUGAACCUGGAAAGAUAGAUGGCCCAGCCAGGUCCAUUGACGGGCCAAAGAAGAAGGCCCCAGGAAGCAAGGCAACACGUCAAGUGUCCGAAGAUAGUGGCACACCCAAAUACAGGGGCGCCGCACACCCACUAUGUUUCACCGAUGAAGUGCUGGACCAUGAAUUCCCAGCGGGAUUUAAACCCAUAAACAUAGAGGCCUACGAUGGAACAACAGACCCUGGAGUCUGGAUAGAAGAUUAUAUACUACAUAUACACAUGGCCAGAGGAGAUGAUCUCCACGCCAUAAUAUACCUACCCCUCAAGCUCAAAGGGCCAGCCCGUCAUUGGCUUAAAAGCCUCCCAGAAAACACUAUGGGAAGUUGGGAAGAGCUCGAGGACGCGUUUAGAGCAAAUUUUCAAGGGACUUAUGUCCGCCCUCCGGAUGCAGAUGAUCUAAGUCAUAUAACUCAACAGCCCGGAGAGUCAGCGCGCAAAUUCUGGAACAGGUUCCUCACCAAAAAGAACCAAAUAGUCGACUGUCCGGACGCCGAAGCCUUAGCAGCUUUUAAACACAAUGUCCGAGACGAAUGGCUUGCCAGACACCUCGUCCAAGAGAAACCGAGGACGAUGUCUGCGCUAACAAGCCUCAUGACCCGCUUCUGUGCGGGAGAGGAUAGCUGGCUAGCAAGAUGCAGCACCAGCGACCCAAGUACAUCCAAGACAAGAGAUGGAAACGGAAAAUCACGGCGCAGAAAAGAGCAGCGCCGGAAUAAAGAGAAAAGCCCAAAGAGCACGGCAGUCAAUGCCGGAUUCAAAAGCUCGCGGCCAAACAACAAAACACCACCUCUUAAGGAUGACAGCGAUGAGUUGUCCAACUUAAACAAGAUUUUGGGUCGGAUAUGUCAAAUCCACAGUACCCCCGGAAGGCCUGCAAACCAUACCCAUCGAGAUUGUUGGGUUUUCAAAUAGUCUGGCCGACUAAACACCGAACACAAGGGGCUCGACGCGUCAAGCGAAGACGAUAAACCCCACCAGCAGAGCACCGGAAAGCAAAAGACUUUCCCACAAGAGGUCAAAGCAGUAAACUCACUUCAUGUGAUAAUACGGAAAAAUAGUGCUGCACCUUCUAAAAGGAGCCUCGCACGGUCCAACCCAGCAGACCAUAGAGAUUGGAUAUCAAAACCAAUCACUUUCGACCACCUGGAUUAUUCCAGAAGCGUUCGAAAUGCAGGACGGACUGCCCUGAUAUUGGAUCCCAUAAUCGACGAACUACAAUUUACUAAAGUCCUGAUGGACGGAGGCAGCGACUUAAACUUGCUGUACUCAAACACAAUCCGCAAGUUGGGGAUAGACCCUACUAAAAUUCGACACAGCCGCACUUCCUUCAAAGGAGUGACGCCAGGCCCUUACGCCAAGUGCACAGGCUCCCUAUCACUAGAAGUUGUGUUCGGAUCACCGAACAACUUUCGACGCGAAAAACUAGUCUUUCAUAUCGUCCCAUUUAAAAGUGGAUAUCAAGCACUCUUGGGACGAAAGGCUUUUGUCCGUUUCAACGCCAUACCGCAUUACACGUCUCUUACACUCAAGAUGCCCGGUCCACGUGGCAUCAUUUCAGUGCAAGGGUCACUUAAAGACCCCGGACACGGAUAGACGAGUCCGGCAUCAGUAGGCUAGGGGCUCCCUAGCUGCACACCCCUUCACAAGGGGCUGCGCGCACAAACAACCGCGAGUUCAUACAAACUCCGCUUUACUUAUUUUUCUUCUUUCACACAUACCUUUUUCGCACGAGUUGUUUUCAAACUAAAGUUCCUCUCUUUUUACAGAUGAACAACGUGCACACCCGUCCAGGAUAAUGGCACAACGGAGACACAGGCGCAGACGUGCAGUAGGGACCCGUUGCGAGGAUUCUUUUCAGAUUAAGACCCUGCGUAAACCUUUUUUACUGUCUCUUGUUGUUAUUCUUCCUUGGUUUCUUCCUAUAACCAAAGCGGAGCCUGAUGUUUUGGCAUCGGCCGCGUCAGAGGACCAUGCCCGUACCUGGACACUAGGGGCUUAGGGCAUUAUUCUGCCCAUUAUUAUAAAGACCGAACACCUUAGGGAGUGUUCGGCGUCUCCAGUUAGGCAUUAUAUGCAUCAGCUCCGAAUCAUAUCUUUGGUCAAAUGUUGGGUUUGCCCGGCUCCUGUGUUUUGCUGCCUUACGUUCCGUAUCAUCGGCUAACGCAGCAUCAGGAGAACUACUGUGAUUGUGCCCCAGUUCGGCUGGGCGAGCACCUCAAUAGAGAAAGCCGAAAACUGACUGUCAUGAUAUAGCGAGAGACUGGUCAACCACUCGAUCGACUACCGGAAUGUUUAGAAUUCCCCGCUUUGACGAAGGACCGUUUCCCGGUCAGGCACACACGCGCCCCGAACUCGGAGAAGUGUGGUGCCCCAAGGGGCUAUAUCGUAGCCCCACCCUCGAACUCCACUGGCUAAGUGAAAGUGAUAAAGCAUCAUAGUCCGGAUUGCCUUGUUUGCUACGCUAUCACCUCCUUAACAGGACCAAGACGCCGGAUUAAGUGUGAAAACGCGCUAUUUUUGCGAACACCCCCGCACCUUGUGCGUGGGGGCUGAAGCCGAAGACUGCAAUCUUUCAGGUUAUACAAAUGUAUAUGUAAACGGCCGCACAUGAGAAAUUUUACUACUUGGGACACACAAGUAUAAAAAGCAGUUACAGCAUAAUCAUCGUUUUACAAGCUAAAACGUUCAUUUGAACAUGACAUUUUUUGAGCACUGCGACUCUAUUACACGAGCGCCACGCAUAACUUCCCCAAAAUAGUGCUCGGCAGGGAGCCGGCUUUCAUCCGAACCCUGGGCGGCAAUAGUGGCGGCAUCCAUCUCUGUCCAAUGUGUCUUCACACGGGCAAGAGCCAUCCAUGCGCCUUCGAUGCAGGCCGACUGCUUCAUCUCCUUGAUAUGCGGCACCGCUCCUAGAAAUUGUUGCAGUAAGCCGAAAUAGCUCAUCGCCUUGGGCCUCUCUGGCCAGACAUGAGCCACGAUGUCAGUCAUGGCAAGUCCGGACAAUCUAUUCAGCUCGGCCCAUUCGGCCAACCGAUCGGUCAACGGAAGUGAAUGAUCCGGACUCUGGAAUUGAGACCAGAAUAGCUCUUCCGUCUUGUGAUCCUUCUGGCUUCGGAAGUGCUCAACGGCAUCAUCCGCACUUGCCGCUAAGUCCAUAUACGGAUCCUCCAGACUCCACAGCUGGACAAGUUGAGCAUACUUUUGAUCCGUAAACCGGCAACGCAGCAGAAAAGGCUUGCCAGCCACGAUAUCUCCGGCCUGGCACAGCUCCUCCUUCAUGGCCCGCAUUGCAGAACGGGCAUCCUUGGCCUCGGCGGUGGCCUUCCCCAGGUCUUCCCGCUCCGAUAAGCGCUCCUUUUCAAGAGCCUCAUUGCGGUCGGCAGCAUCUUUUAAUUUCACGGCCAAUCUGGCCAUCUCUUCCCUGCUUAGGCAGUGUGCAGCCUUUUCGGCUUUCAACUCCUCGGCUGCCCUCGAGGCAUCCGCGUCACUCCUUCGGGCUUGCUCCUUAGCUUGAGCAAGUUCGGCCCGAAGGCUCUCCACAGUAGCAGCACCAUCUGUAUCAUAGCAUAUAAUUUAUCAGAGGAGGGCUUUGACCCCCUUAAUAAAGCGACUGUGGAAAACUCAUUUACCUUGCGACUCGUCAAGUCGCCGGUUGACAAGUGCGAUGUCCGCAUCCGCCACGUCAAGUUGCCGCAUUAACUCGGCAACUCCAGUAGUCCGGCUAGCCCUCGGACUAUCCGCCACCUGCAUAGGAACGGCGACAUUCAUUACUUGCGAUUUUGAUCCUCGGCACGCUGUCGUUUUCGACAACCUACCGAGUCUCAGGGGCUACUAUCUAUACAGGGCGCACUUUUAUGUGCAAAACUGUCAAAAAAAAGGUGUGUCAUUCCCGCGUACCUCAAAUCCCGCCAGCAAACUCGUAGCGGCAUUACGCAAUCCGCUCUCGGCGGACGAAAUCCUUCCAAUCACCAUACGCAUCAACGCACGGUGAUCUUCUGAGAUGGACGCCCUCUCAAGCAGAUUUUUCAGUUCUCCCGGCCGGAUACUAGCGGGCGCCGAACUCUCCGGCCCCUCCGGACUCGGGGAUACCCUCCGUGACGAUACUUCAGGCUCGUCUGCCCUAUCUGACGGCGCAGCAGACGGAGGCGUUUCGCUCUCCAUCAUCUCCGGAAGAAGGUCCCCCGAAGACGAACUCAUCUGAGAAGGCUGCAGAUCCGAACUGCAAGAUAAAAAAUACGGUUACCCACAGAAGCACGAAUGGAGGUAUUUUCUUACUAAUGAACUCCUCCUUUCAUACUCACGGCUCGCUGGAGGGCUGAUCCUUUGGCAAUGAUUGUACGUACGGAUUCUCCUCGGACGCCGGACCCCCCGGUGAAGAUCUCUUCCCCCGUUUCGGGGCUUUAGCCUCCGGAUCUUCGGAGGCGGUCCUCUUCUCCCCCCUGGAAGGAGGGGUUUUUUAUUCCCCCCUCUUCAGACGCCCCUUCGGGCGAAAUAAAAGCUCCUCUAUUUUCCCCGUCGCUCCCUUCUACGGGCGCGACCUCCAACAUUCUGACCAGCACGGGCUCCAGUGCGGUCUCUGGGAGGGGAGCCGGACACCUUAUCAGCUUCGAUCGCGCUACCCACUCCUGUGAAGAAUAAUGGGUCAGGAGGCGAACACUAGAAAGGCAGAUAAAUAGAACGUCCGAACUCUGAGCUAUUUACCUGAGUAUCCGGGCGAUUGCAGCUUAGGCCUGCGUCCUCGGUCAAUUCCGGACACGCCACCUGCGGUCCGAAGAACAACUGGUACAUCUCCACGGGUGUCGCACCCAUGAAGUGUUGGAGAAUCCGAGGUCCCUCCGGGUUGAACUCCCAUAGACGGAGAGGACGGCGUUUGCAGGGCAGAAGACGCCUGAUUAGCAUAACCUGCAUCACCACGACUAGAUUGAUCUCCCUCGCUUGGAGGUCUCGAAUCCGGCCCUGCAAUGAGGGCACGUCUUCGGACGGCCCCCAAUUGAGCCCUUGGUUGACCCACGACAUCAGUCGGCGUGGAGGUCCCGGGCGGAAUGAAGGCGGCGGCUUUUGCUUGCUGCCCUUCGGAGCGGUGAUAUAGAACCACUCCUGCUGCCACAGUCCGAGUUCCUCUUGGAAGGAACCCUCGGGCCACGGGGCAUCGGCCCUUUUGCUUAUGGCCGCCCCGCCGCACUCCGCUUGACGCCCCCCGAUCAUCUUCGGCUCCACAUUGAAGGUCUUCAGCCACAAGCCGAAGUGGGGAGUGACGCGGAGGAAGGCUUCGCAGACGAUAACGAAUGCGGAGAUAUGGAGGAUGGACUCCGGAGCCAAGUCGUGAAAAUCCAGCCCGUAGUAGAACAUGAGCCCUCUCACGAAGGGGUCCGUCGGGAAGCCUAAACCCCGACGGAGGUGGGAUACGAAGACAACGUACUCACCAGGCUCGGGGGCAGGCACGUCCUGCCCUUGGGCGGGCAACCUGUGCGAAAUCUCGUAGGAUAGGUACUUGGCCUCACGCAGCUUCAAUACGUCCUCCUCCGUGACAGAGGAGGGCAUCCACCGGCCCUGGAGGUCGGAGCCGGACAUGGUUAAGAAUCCGAAGCGCUCGAAUCUGAGGCUUUGGGUGUUGGAACUGGGAGCGAGGAGGAGAUUCGAUGCGAGAUUGAAGAAAAACGAACCUUGGUCCUCUUAUAAAGGGGAAAAAUACCAAGGGUCGUCUCCGUGACCGUUCGGGAUUCACCCUCGAUGGAGGAGGCGUGGCGACGGGCAUGGUUGGGUUACCCACGCACGUAUUGAUGAAUCCCGGAAUAAGGGGAACAGGAUCUCUGCUUCGACAAGACGUGCCAAGGAAACCGCUUCGCUAAACGCGCUGAGGUGGUAUAAUAAAAAACGAUUCAAAUAAAAACCUGGUAGCGGUGUGAUGCCAUGCCGCAUAAUACGUCAGUAGAUUGGACUUGUGUACAUUUUAUUCUCUCUACGGUGGAAUGUGGAAUUUAUUUUGCAGAGUCGGACACUAUCCUGGUGUUCAUGAUCUUCUCUGGAUUAUUCAAGGGAGGAACCCGCCUUGCAAUGCCGAACAUUAUGCGCGCUGGACUUAUCGUCAUUGAAGCCUGGUUCAGGGGCUACCGAGGGAGUCCUGGACUAGGGGGUGUCCGGACAGCCGGACUAUCAUCGUCCGCCGGACUCCAAGACUACGAAGAUACAAGAUUGAAGACUCCGUCCCGUGUCCGGAUGGGACUUUCCUUGGCGUGGAAGGCAAGCUUGGCAAUACGGAUAUGUAGAUCUCCUACCGUUGUAACCGACUCUAUGUAACCCUAGCCUCCUCCAGUGUCUAUAUAAACUGGAGGGAUUUAGUCUGUAGGACACAACAUACAUUACAACAAUCAUACCAUAGGCUAGCUUUAGGGUUUAGCCUCCUUGAUCUCGUGGUAGAUCCACUCUUGUACUACCCAUAUCAUCAAUAUUAAUCAAGAAGGGCGUAGGGUUUUACCUCCAUCGAGAGGGCCCGAACCUGGGUAAAACAUUGUGCCCCUCGUCUCCUGUUACCAUCCGCCUAGACACACAGUUCAGGACCCCCUACCCGAGAUCCGCCGGUUUUGACACCGACAACGGGCAUCUCCUCCGCAGGGCGACCUGUGAGUAUACCUACAAGACAUAUUUUGUCAAUUGACUUCCUCGCCAAACUCUUCUUUUCAAAGGAGUCCGCUCAAGCACUUACUAUAGAUGCCACGACGAAGCCGCUCAGUCUCCUUAACGGAGCCGGACAGCUCGGCCCGAACACCUUUCAGCUCUUCUCCGAGCUGGGUGUGGGCAUCCUGGAGCUUGUUCCUUUCCUGCUGCACCCUAUUCAGCACCCUCUCGCCGGCCUUCAGCUGGCGCAGUAGUUCUUGCCUAUCCGGAUCUUGUCCGGCAGCACCUGCAACGACAUUAUUAGACUUGCACGCACACCGCACACCACUUAUCUUUUUAAAAUAAUGUGUUACCAGGAGGGGUCUCUGUGUUUCCUCCUGCGGCAGCAAGUGCGGCCUCGAGUUGGGCCUUGCACUCUUGCAGCUCCUGAGACAGUUGGGUAUUCUUCUCCGUAAGACCCUGCGUUUCAAAUGAUCCUUAAAUCAGUUAAUAUAACUACUUUAAGUCUCGGGGGCUACUGGCACGUACAACUAUUAAAUUCUCUUACCCGUAUGUCUUUUACAUACUGCUCCGUUGCUCUGGUAAAACCAUCUUGAGCCGCACGGAGGUGCGCGUCCCCCGUUUUAAAGGCAUUCAACGCCUCAGGGGAGAAGCACGCGUCAUGAAAUACUGUCUGGCAGCGCCUGUGGUUCAUGGCGCUCUCCACCUGAGACAUGGUGGCGGACAGUCUGUCGGCAUCCUCCGUUGGAGGAGUGUCCGGCUCGCGCCUUGCGCUCGCCUCCCCCUCCAGACCAGGUGCUGGAGCCUGGCUGGUAGAGGUUGGAUUGGCAACCUCUACGCCCGCAGUCCGGCGGGCGCUUUUUCUCCUACAAAAGUCAUGAGCACUCAAAGGCUUCCUAGGAGCGUUGCUCCAAAUAAUUAACUGUGAGCUAUACCUUUGCGGCGACGUUUCAGUCCGCGCCGCGCUCCUCUUCCGCCUACUGGUCCGGACUGGCCUUUGUUGGUCAGCCGCUGCGGGCUCGGCUUCCCGCCUUGAAGGCGCUUCCUGCAAAACACCAUCGUAUGCGAAGGUCAGAAAUGAGCAAGGAAGAGAUAAUGGUGUCGGGACUUCGGUCACAAUCACCUGGGAAGCCGGAUAUAGUCCGGGGUAGUCAGCCGUAAUGGUGACUAAAGCAUUAUCAAUGCUGAGCUGAUGGAACACCCCAUCGAUUAGCUUCACCUUUAUGUCCGGAUCCUCUUCGGAGGCCGGAUCCUGGGAUCUCUCUGGAUCCUCGGGUUGCGGAGCUGGACUUAGCAUGUCCUCCACAACCCGACGCAGCUCCUGCAUUGAAAACAUGAUAUAAGAAAUUUAAACUUUGAAAGCAUGGGUCGGGCCCGUAAAGUGUUCGCUCACCCAACGCCGAGGGUUAUUCAUGGAGAACCCAUUCAACGGGUUUGUCCGGAGAAAGUCCUCCUUCUCCCCCUUGUACAGGCCGGACAGGAUCUUCGCCAGAUCCUCGGCCGAAUCCGGUCCUUUGCGGCCAUGACGGGUGGCAUCGUCCUCCCCGUUGAAAUCCCACAUGGGGUGGCCCCUGUAUUGCAGUGGCUGCACCCCCCGCGUAAUGCAUGUUGCCAUGACUCCAAUCAUGGUCAACCCGGAAUGGGCCAAUAAUCUUAUCCGGCCCAUCAAAUAAUGGACGCUCUUGUCUUCCUCCAAUUGGGGGCUCCGCGGACGCCAACUGAGGCGUUUCUUCAGGGGAGCAUUAAUGAACUCCGGGAGGCCGAUCCGAACAGGGUCCGGCAGCGGAGCGUCUUCUAUGUAAAACCAUUCCGAAGGCCAGUCUUCGGACGCCUUCUUAGGGGUUCCGGAUGGAUAUCCGGUCCUGGCAAUGCGCCAUAUUUCGGCGGCGCCCACUUGAUAUAUGGACCCCUCGUGAGAGCGGGGUACAAGGCAGAACAACCUCUUCCACAGUGCAAAAUGGGGCUCAACGCCCAGGAAUAGCUCGCAAAGAGCUACGUAACCCGCGAUAUGCAGGAUAGAGGCGGGCGUAAGGUGAUGGAGCUGGAGUCCGUAGAACUCCAGGAGCCCGCGGAGGAACGGAUGUAUAGGAAACCCGAGCCCCCUUAUCAGAUAGGGGACAAAGCAUACCCGCUCCCCUUUGUUGGGACUUGGGGUAGCCUCCGCUUGCUUCCCACCUUGGUAGGUGGCCAACCCGGCUCGAACCGGGACCAUGAAGGCCGGAGGGAGAUAUCCCUUUGCUUGGAGCGUCACCAGCUCAUUGUGCGGGACAGAACAUCUCCUCCAAUCUCCUAGCGGAGGGCUAGGAGCGCGAGAGGAGGAGCCGCGUCGACGGUCCAUGAUAGAAUGGAUUCUUGGUCAGAAGCGCUCUGAUGAGUACUCGCGGAAGGAAGAUGGUGUGAUUUGGAUCUGGAUUCUUGCCUCUCUUAUAGGCAGACUAUUUGCACAGCUAGGGGGUAAAACAUAAAAGAUGCCUUGGCUUUUCGCAUUCGUGCGAUGCGUGGAAGAUGGCCAUUAUUGGGCGUGGAAGCCAAGAAGCGCAACAUUGAUAAGGGAGCCGGACACUGUUCGGCAAACACACGGAAUUUGGAGGAGAACCCGCCUUGCAACGCUGAAGACUAUAUACGCGCCGGAAUUAUCGUCAUUGAAGCCUGGUUCGGGGGCUACUGAGGGGUCCUGGACUAGGGGGUGUCCGGACAGCCGGACUAUCAUCGUCCGCCGGACUCCAAGACUAUGAAGAUACAAGAUUGAAGACUUCGUCCCAUGUCAGGAUGGGACUUUCCUUGGCGUGGAAGGCAAGCUUGGCGAUACGGAUAUGUAGAUCUCCUACCAUUGUAACCGACUCUGUGUAACCCUAGCCCUCUCCGGUGUCUAUAUAAACCGGAGGGCUUUAGUCCGUAGGACACAACAACCAUUACAACAAUCAUGCCAUAGGCUAGCUUCUAGGGUUUAGCCUCCUUGAUCUCGUGGUAGAUCCACUCUUGUACUACCCAUAUCAUCAAUAUCAAUCAAGCAGGAGUAGGGUUUUACCUCCAUCGAGAAGGCCCGAACCUGGGUAAAAACAUCGUGUCCCUUGUCUCCUGUUACCAUCCGCCUAGACGCACAGUUCGGGACCCCCUACCCGAGAUCCGCCGGUUUUGACACCGACAGUAGUUAAGUAAUAAUGUUUGGUAUAGCAGCCUUUCCGAGCGAGUCUCUGGGAUCUCCUGUAAACCCCCAUGAUGUGGUAAAGGGAGGAUAUUAGGGGAAGCGGUGAGUGGAGAUUCCCCUGCGGGGAGCCGGAUGAGGGGAGACCCUCACGUCCGGUUCGGAGGGCGGGGAUAUCCCGACCCUACUAUCAUUAUGCCUUUGCAAUGUUACUUGGUUCAACUCCAUUUGUGACCUUUUCUCGUAUGUGGGACUCUCUAUCUUCUUGGGUAGAUUCUAG
rnacentral:lncRNA from 1 species